CCGAUCGUCCCUAGAAGAAGCUCAACAAAGUCAUUUCUGCAAACGAAGAUCGAAGCCCGACGAUGACAGAGUCGAUCUCUCCUACUAGGGCGAUAGAUCUGACGGCAAAAGCCCGAUCGUCCCUAGAAGAAGCUCAACAAAGUCAUUUCUGCAAACGAAGAUCGAAGCCGACGAUGACAGAGUCGAUCUCUCCUACUAGGGCGAUAGAUCUGACGACAAAAGCCGAUCGUCCCUAGAAGAAGCUCAAAAGUCAUUCCUGCAAAAAAAAAAAAAAAAAAACAAAAAAAACAAAACAACACAAAAAAAACAAAACAAAACAAAACAGAAUUAAAAAAAGCAAAACAAAAAAAAAACACACACACAAAAAAAGAGAAAAAAGAGAAAGGGAGAAGAAAAGUUUUCUAUACCUUUCUGCUGAUUGGAUGAGGUAUAAGUGAGUAGGGUGUGAGUCUAUUUAUAAGUCCAACAAAUCCAAUUUUUAAAAGGAUUAGGAAUGAUAUUUAAUUAUUUUUUUUAAAAAAAAAACAAAUCCAAUUCCUAAAAGGAAUAGGAUUGAUUUUAAAUAUAUAUAUAUAUAUAUAAAGAAAAGAUAAUCCAAUUAUCUUAUUUUAUUUUAAAUUAUUUCUUUUUUUUUUGUUGGAUAAAUCUCAAGUUUAACUUUUAUUGAGAUAUUUAAAAUAUUUAAAAAUUUCAACAUUUAAAAAUAUAUAUAUAUAGAUAAAUAUUCUCAAUUUCAAAAUUCAAGUUAAAUUAACUUGCAUAUAUGACCUCAUUUUUAUCAUGAAUUUAAAUCGGAGCAUAAAUCCAACUUUACCUAAGAUUGAGGACCUGAUUUUUUAUCUCAAAUUAAAAUUGGUCAUUCCAAAUUCUUAUGCAUCCCCAAGAUAAAUUAAGGUACGGUAGAAACUUUAUCCUUAUUUCAAAAUUAAAAUUUUGGUUAUAUUCCAAAUUUUACUUAAAAAAAAUCAUCAUAUUAAAAAUUUUUUUUAUCCUCAAAUAAAAUUAAGUUAGGAAUAAAACUUUGAAUUUUUUUAAGGUUUGGCCAUAUUCCAACCCUUAUUUUAAAUUGAAAUCAAACUCACGUACUAAAUUCAAGUUUGAUUAAUUUGAUAUAUUGAAUUGAGUAAAAAAAAAAAAAAAAAAGAAGCUCGUACUUUGACUUCAAAUUUAUCUUUUCGAGAUUCAUUCACCCAUAUACGUGCAUAAAUCUCGAAAAGGGGGCAUUUGUUGAAUAAGAAAUUUUGAGACUAAUCACUAGUUGCCAUAUCAUUUAUUAAGUUAAUGAUGAAAAGUACAAAUAAUUAAAUUUGGGACUAAUUAAAAUUGACAUAUGCUCCAAAUUAAAGAGUUGAAAAUAAAUAAAAUGGUCAUUCUAAUAAUGCCACAUGUUUUCAUAUUAAUAGUUGGAUUAAGUUAAUCAUUUUAGUUCAAUUAAAUAUUAUUUACUUGGACUAAGUUCAAUUAAGCCCAAAAAAUAAGCUUAAUUGAACCCAAAGACUAAAUAUAACCUAAGUCCAUAUGGUUGAGCCCAUGGGUCUGGUCCAUGGACCAACCAGGUUCAAACCCAUAAAGCCCACCAGUGAAAUCUAUAAAUAGAGGAAUUCUCCUCAUUUGUAGGGGUUGGAAAUUUUGACUCUAGAAGAUCCAGAGAGAAUUCUUCAAAGAGCUAGAAGACUCCCUAACUCCUGAAGUCGACCAUCCUCGAAGAUUGAAGCUUCUUUAAAGAUACAAGCUUUCUUCAAGGCUUCAACUUCAAGAACAUCACGUGCUUCGCUUCCUCAAAUCAAGCUGAAGCAUCCAGUUGAGAGAGAAUCAGAGGAUCAAAUUCUAGAGAUUGAACCGCAUCGCAUCAAAUCAACAAAAUACAACAUCAAACUCAAGUUCAAGUCCACGAAUUAAAUUCUCCGAAAAUCUCGUGCGAACACAUAUAUUUCUAAAUAAAUUUAUUCGACGAAAGUGGCUAGAUUGGUGGGUUCGACGGCGAAGGCUUGUUGUGGCAGCAACGACAACAGUGGUUGGAGUGUGGAAUCGACGACGACAAGUGGCAAAAAAUUGGAAGGCAAGGGUUCUUCAUAACGACUCGGUAGCCCACUUCGUUCGACGAGAUUUUUUUGCAUUUUUGGUAGAGUGAGAAAAAAUUGCAUUAAGACUUCAUUCGACGACAUCGUUUUUGCUUAAGAGAAAAUUUGAUGUUUUUACUUAGUUGUAAUUGCGUGAGAGAGGGAAAUUAAAAAAUUUUGAAAUUUGAGGUUUUUUCAUUUGAAAUUUUUUUUAAUGACAAAAAAAUUGUCGUUAAUUAAUGACCCAAAAAUUGUGUGAAAUAAAUUAAAUUGUGUCAAUAGAAUUGUUUUAAGAAAUAAUCCAUAUUUUUAUUUUCAACAACACAUGUACCUCAUCCACCUCUUUUUUCUUUUAUUUUCAACGACACAAUGUCUUGAUUAAAAUCCAUUUUUCUAGUGACAAAUGUAUCCAUACCAAAGUGGGAAGCAGCUAAGGGGACGAAGGUAUAUUCGGAGAGAGAUUGUUAAACAAUUGUAAAAAGUAAGCCCAAGAAGAGAGGUCCAAUAAAAUUCAGCCACCUCUCACAUAGUAAUUGAAAUAGUCUAGCAAUUUCAACCAUUUCCCUCACAGAGAAGAAGAAGACCAUAGCCACUCGAGGCUUUUGCACAUACAAACACCAAGAAGAUGGUGUCCGGUUCCGUACCUGUGCUAAGCGCGUCGUUGUUGACAUAAAGUUUCUAUAUACAAAGCUAUGUAUCUCUACCCUUGACUUCUCUUUCUCUCUUUCUACCUUUUUUAUCCUUUCUUUCUCCCAUUCACUCAAUACACUUGCAAGAACCUUCAUUUUUUUUGUAUUUAAAUUUUCUUGGCACCAUCCUUUUUUAAUUAUCAAGGCUUUGUUAUUGUGUACCUGUAUUGUGUCGUGCCUCCUUCACUUCUCAUCAUCAUUUUCAUGUCACAUCUCUACCUUGUCAAUUUUCGUUUUUCACUCAGCUUUCUUUCUUCAUUUGUCUUCACUACUCUCUUCGCUCCUUCUUCUCAAGCUCUAACUUUUGCUAUUAUUAACCAGUCUCAAAUGACCAUUGGAAAACCUAUAGCCCACUGAGAGGCAGCCAAUAUAGUAAUGCCUCUAAUGAUAAACUCCAAUGAAAUCAAAAGUUCUUCUUUGAGAUUUGGAAAAAUAUAUUAGAUAAAGCAUAAUUAGUUGAAAAAGAACCUUAAAAUUUUGUGUUAAACGACUACAAUUUCAUCGUAGAAUAUGCCAUAUUGACAGCAUAUUUUUCCUACAAAAACAUAUUAACUAAAAUAAGCUCAUAAACACGAAAAUGCACUAAGUGUUGGUUAACAUACACUACCUUGAAAUAUGAUGAAGACUUUAUUUCUCCCAACCAGACAGCAUAAUCAGGAGGUAGUUUGGGAGCAAACAGAAUUGACUUAAUUUCCACUAGCAAUAUCCUAUAAAAAUUUCAAAUUCUUGAAAUAUGGAAACCAAUGGAAGUUUUAGGGAAUGAAGUAUAACCUCUAAAUACAGAAGGACGACAUAAAGGGGAAUGAAGACUCGAAAGAAGGACGACGUUUUCGUAGAGAAGGACGACAAUUUUGAGGGACAACGGACACGAUUUCAGAGUAUUAGGGAUGGUAGAUGGCGAAAGUCUUAGGGAUCUCGUACUCAGUGGAUGGUGAACGACUGAAAGCGAAGGACCUAGUACGCAUUUUUGGAGAGGGCGUGUGAACGCGGAUGGACGGACGGUGAACACGGCAGAAGUGAGAGAUCCUCAUAGAGAACUUGGCAUUUUCGAAUGCGGUAGAGACAAGUCUAGGGCUUCGAAGGAUUCAACCCAAUAUUUUCUUUAUAUAUAUAUAUAUAUAUAUAAUAUAUAUUUAAUAACACUUGACGUUUUUAAAACGUAAAGAAAAACGAUUUUACUUGACGUCUAAAAAACAUCAAGAAAUUUAAAAAAUAACUCUUCUCCGGCUUUUUAUAAAAAUUCUUGACGUUUUAAAACAUAAAGAAUUUUUAAGAUAUUUCUUGACGUUUUUAAAAUGUCAAGUAAAAGUACAUAUUACUUGACGUUUGAAAAUUUUGAAGAAUGUUGAAUAUAUAAACAUUCUUGACGUUUUUAAAACGUCAAGAAAAAAUACAUAUUAGUUGAUGUUUAAUAAACGUCAAGAAAUCUGAAAAUUGACCUACCCUCGCCUUUUCUAAAAAUUCUUGACGUUUUAUCUUUGGAACUACCCCUUUCUUGACGUUUUUUGAAAAAAAAUGUCAAGAAAGAAAAACAACAAACGUCAAGAAAGGCCUUUUUUGUAGUAAUGACAUACAAUAUAUAUAUAUACAUAAAUAAAUAAAUAAAUAUAUAUAUAUAUAUAAUGAAUUAAAAUGGUUUUGUUGCUUUACUGUUUUACUCUAUAAAGGAAGAGCAUUAUAAAUAUAUUAUUGAGGAAACAUCUUUCGAAAUGACUGGUUUUGGAAGUGUCAUUAGAUUUUUAGUUAGUUAAGCACAUUUUCCUCCCAAAUAGUAGUCGAAAUACAACUGUUUUUUAAGAAGAAGAAACCGAAUCCUUCAAACUAGGAUAAAAGUCAUUAUCUAUUAACAUAGAGUUAAAGUUACAAGGUUGAAGGCUAGAGGGAAGCCUGAAACAACCUAAUCUAACAAAGCUUAAAGUUAAGAGUUGGUAGUAACAUCAUAUUAGUUACAAGAUGAAUGACGCCUAGACCAAACUUCGAUCAAGUUACAUGUGUCUUCCCACAAGUUAACAAUAAACCUUGAUUUAUCCUUAAAAAUUCUAUUGUUUCUUUCUAUCCAAACAAUCCAAAGUAAGCCAGUUAUGGAGGAGGAAUACACAUUAGAGAGCUCAAUUAUGGAUGGAGGAAUACACAACUUUUUCUCGUGGUCAUUUUCCUCGUGGGCAUUCUCUUCAUGUUUCUUCUUAUUCCGACUAAAAUACAAGCACAAAUUAUUCUUCGCCUUCGUAUAGGUUUGUUUGAAGAAGAUUAAAAAAGUCCUUAAUUUAUCUCGACACUUCCAAAACCAGAAUAUAAUACCCGUGCUACAUAAAUCCCUCUUUCCAAAUAGUCGAACAUGAACUAUCCAUGCAUAUCUUGGAAUAAACAAGAGAAACCCUAACUAAACGCAAAUAGAAAAUACGUUGCAAUCUAAAAUAUAGUUAAAGAAACAAAAAGAAGUUUUAAUGUUGUGGGUUUUUUACUGAUCUUCUUCAACAACAAAAUAACUCAACGCCACAGUUCAAUUUUUCCUUCCACGAAUUGGGUUUUUAAAGAGUUUUCACCGCGAAUAAAUUUUUUUUGGUUCGACAAGUAACAACAUGUGAAUCCCCAAAUGCAAGGUUUUAUUAAAAAUUAAAAAUAUAAUUUUUUAAAAAAAUUAUAAUACCUAAAAAUAUAUUUUUUUUAUAUUUAUAACCUAAUUUUCUGUCAUUGCAUACUUGAGAGAAAUAUAUUUUUCAAUUAGCAUAAUAACCUUUAUAUAGUAAAUUAAAUUUGUAGAAUGAGAAAAGACCUUAGAUCCAAAAAAGUUAUUUAUUUAUUAUUGGAGUGAAUUGUAUAAUUAAUGUAGUUAAUGGAUGGUUUUGUAACCAUAAAAAAAUAAUGAAAAUAAUUUUCUAAAAGAAUGAAUGAAAAUUUGGAAAGUUAAAAGGUUUUAGGAAUUAAAAAAAAGGGUGUAACAUUAUAAAAGACUACCAAAUAUACUGUAAGAGACAUGCAUUAAAGGAGCUGAGUGUCACGUGUGAAAUUUUGACCCCAAAAAUCACCCCCAAAAUUGCGCUAAUUCAUGCCACGACUCCUUCAGCAAGGCCCAGGAGCAGCCCAACGUGGUCCUAAGACAGCCUAAGGGCGACCACGACAUGUGCCUACGGCAUUGGCAUGCACCUCUCGAGGACAGCUCACAAGCCCCGCACGCGUGCCACGACGAGUGCCCAUGACAGCCGAGUGUCAGCCCACGACACAGCCCCAUAGCACGCCAGAUGCCCGUUGACACGGCCAUAGGCGCCCGGCACCAGCGCCCACCAUCGACCCAGCGCGCGCCGUGUCCGCCCAACGUCCAGACGGCCCCAGAACCUCCGAGAAGCUUCCAGAAGAAUCGGGAAGGCGCGCAACACUUCGCGUGGCGCGCACGGCGCGAACCCAACGCGCGCGCCGACGCCCCCAGAUGCUUCCAGAAGGCUCCACACAUGCCCAUGUGUGUGCUGCCCGCCCAUGCUCAGUCUAGACAACCCCAGAAGCCUCUAGAACGUUCGAGACAGUGCCAGAAUGUGCUGGAAUGCGCGGAGGCUCCCGAGAAGGCCCCGGAACGUGCUGGAUGAUGCUGGAACGUGCUGGAACACUCUAGAAGGCUAUAUGACGGUCAGCGAGUGUCAUGAAAGGUCUAGUCCUCUCUAGAAUGUUCUAGGCUUCCUUGUUAUGUACCAAAUGAACUUGUAAUCUCUAGAAUCUCCCUUGGCCGACCUUCUAAGGCCCAAGGUCGGUGGGGAUGGUCUAUAAAUACUUGGGAGGGCCUCAUUUGUAUCAAGCCUUGCAACCUUGCAUCUUGGCAUGUCUUAGCCAAGCAAGGUCACCUUGCCACCCAAAGUCUCCUUGCCCAUGGUAUCCCCAUGACAAGAAGACAGCAUAUUUGUACCCAAAUAUGUAUUCAUCUAUUGUUGGAAUGCAAUGUAUCAUUCCAAAGACGUAUCCAUCCAAACUCCCUCAUCCUUCCAACCUCUCUCAUGUCUUGCAACCAACCUUAGUACUUCCGCUGCAACCGUUGUCGUAGUGCUUGGCACACUACCCCUUCCGGGAAAGGCUUACUUGGCUACGUGGGCAUUGUAGUUAGCCAAGUGCCGCAUGUAUGGUUAGCUUCAAGAUCCUAACCACGUGACAUGAGGCAUGCAUACUACCAAAUAUACUAUAAAUAAACCAUAAUUCUUUUUUAAGAAAUUAAACAACUAAUUAAAUAUAAAGAAGAAAGAUUAGAAAAUGAAUGAUCAAACAAACUAUGACUCAUUUAUUUUUGACAGGUUCGGCCAGUAUCACCUGACAAUUCAUUUUCACCAAGAGAAUAAACAUGAGUAGCCUUGGAAUCAAGUUCCUCCGAUAAAAGCCACGGAGUUGAUGGGUUAGAGACAGAACCAGAAUUUGAGUUCAACGAUGUGGAUGGAAAAUUCUGAAACUAGGAGCAACAGGAAGUUAAGACAACGAAUUAUUUUCAAUAUAGAAAGGCUAAUUGUAAGAAGUUGUUAAUGAAGUGUCCAAAUGCAUUAUGGUAAUAUUGGGUGCAGAAUGUUUGGAAGUUUUAUCCGUGUGCUGUGAAGCACCACAGAGUUGAAGCAUAUGAAACCAGUGUUUAUCUGACAAAAAAUAGUGUCAUGAUCAUUGCCUUUCCAUUCCAUAAAUUUAUGGAUAGCAGAAGAAAGAGAACUCUCAACACUUGAAUCACCAUAUAGCACUCUACAUCCAGGUGGUGCCUUGAUUUUUGAAGAUUUAGUUAAAAGCAGUGAUAAAAUUGGUACAUAAAUUACAGUGCAUUUCUCGAUAUGCAACAACAUUAAGAGCAACUUAAAGACAACAUCAUCAAGAAAUCUAGUAUUUAAAAUGUACAAAGAGCAGUAGUAAACAUAUGUAUUUUAUGGCUGACUUUAUCCAUAAUAAAUGUUGGAUUAAAUCAUCAAAAUAAAACACAAACAGAUAAUUAUCGAGUUUUUCAAUGGAGGAUAGAGAGGAAGACAUGCAUGCACAACUACUAGAUCUAUAUGGUGCCAGACUGCCAGUAAAAAUUUAAAGACACACAUGACAACAUUAUUUUGGAUGAAGUUCUAAUAUUGCAACCAUGGAGGAAAAAUCAGCAAAUCUUAAAUAGAUGUAGUAGUCCAAAUGAUAAAAGUUUGUCUCAAGAUAAUAUUUCAGUAACUGCAGAUGCAUUGUGUUGAACCUAACCUCUUGUGUUUCACGGUAAUGAACAAGGACAAUGUGUUCAAAGGUCCUGAACAAAAAGCAGAAGCAAGUCAUAAAUUAUAUAAGUAGAACACGAUAUACUGCCACUUCUAAUUUCAUUUUUCUUUGCUUGUGGCAUGAUGGGGAUAGACCCCACUGAAACAACUGGUAGCAAGCAAUUUAACAAUUUUCUUUCAACCAUAACAUACUUAUCUAGGAGCCAAUAACACCGGCGAACAAAGGUUGGGCUAUCUAGUCCAUGGGCAUAGUAUACAUGUAUCCUUUCUACAUUACCAACCUGCCGAAGAGAAAGAAAAGAUUAUCAAAGCACACCUUUUCUUGGUUAUUAAGGCUGUAAAAGAAUGAAAAUUACCAUAAAUCUAAACACAGUUAAUAUUAGACCAUUGAACAACCUAUAGAUUCAAAAGGAAAGACUCAAACCACCAAUAGACUGGUUAAUCAUUUAAAAUGAUCUCCAACAACAUGAUACGCAGUAUAUCGUGCUAGAUCCAUAAUUACCACAUGUGGACUCCUAUGGUAAUUUCAUUGAUGAUACGCAGCUAGUAGGCAAGAUUAUGAAAUGAAGACGGUAUGUGAGAAGAUUGAAAAGAUCAACAUGAUAAAAUUAUAGGGAUUUGAAUUUAUAUCUUAAGAACACCAGAGUCAAAUGCUUAAGCUGAUUAACUGUGUUAAAUUUAACUCUAUAAUAUAUUUUAAAUCUGAACAGUCAUUAAACAACUACAUUUUGAAUAAGCUUUAGAGAAUAUUAGCAAAAACAGUAGAAAUUACUUCAAAUUUGUAGAGAGAACAUAUAAAUUAUAUUCUACAGAAACACGAGCCCAUAGCAUGUCUACUGAGUAGCAAUGACAGUGAAAAAGGGAAUAGUAAGUAACUAAUCUCAUAAACCCCUUUCUCACAUCUAACCAAGUUCUUUCAUGACAUGCAAAAGCAUCAAAAUAUUUAAGAAAACUUCCAAUAUUGCAUUUGGAACUCAUUGAUUGACUUCAACGUUUAAGAGUCAUAAAAGACACAACUUACUUUCUCACCUGUCACCACUAAGCCUACGGCAACAUCUUUUUAUAAGAUAUUCAGCUAAUCUUUAGAUUGUUUACCGAAUAAUCGUCUAUUGUUUUGUAAUUGAUCCCACCAAGCGCUUGCGCCACCUUGAAGUUUGAGAGCAACUAAUCGAACCUUCUUGUGUUCGUGGUGUAUUGGCAUAGUCGAAAAAAUUUCUACGUUCUUGAUCCAAUCAAGAAACUUCUCCACGUCCAUUCGACCAUUGAAGGUAGGGAGAUCCACUUUCAUACGUAUUUCUUGAUCUUCUUGAAAGUAUGGUCGAAGUCCAAGCCUUUGUUGAGGUUCUUGAUGAAUGUUCAGCAAGUUGUCUUCAUCGGAAGAGUCAGAAUCAUUUAAGAAAUUUCAGGUACGUUGUUUCCAUACAAUCGAUUAUUGUGGAUGUGAAUAGGUUGAUUUCUUAGUAGUUCUUAGUUUACAACAGGGUUUAUUGGUCUUUCUUGUCUUUCUUGGUUUGCUGCAAUUGGGUUUCUUGGGGCUGAAUUGCUUCUUCUAAAGGUUGGACAUGAAAUCGGGUAAAAAGGUUUGUUAAUUCUACUAACGAUUGCUGUAUAUCUGACUGCCCUUUUCGAAGUUCUUCAAUAGCUUGUUCUACCAACUGCAAGCGUUGGUUGAAGGAGGCUUCCGCGUCCAUGGAUAAGAGUGGUAGGAUCCAAGUUUUUUUAGGGAAGAGUGAGCUAGGAUCACGCUCUGAUACCAAUUGAUUCAGUAAUUGCAAAGCUAGAAAUCUUUAUGUAUAAUGCCUCUUUUUUUUUAUGUCUUAUUAAUGAAAAUGAGAAGCUUUUUUAUAGGCUGGAGAUUAUAAGAGUUGUUAAACUAACUUGGGGUUGAGUUAGUUAACUUGGAGUUGAGUUAGUUAUAACUAACUCAAGAUACAAAAUUGGUAAUUCAAAUAACUAAUCCUAAACUAUAAAAAUGGUAAUUCAAACCCCUCCUCUAGGAUAAAACUCAAGAAACAUCAAGAAGGGAGAUGUUCUACAUCAAAGUGUAGAGAACGAUUCAAAAUCCUUGGUGAAAGAAAUGAAUGUUAACUAAUGUGUGUUUAUGUGAAAUUGUUCAAUGAGUAUGUUAAGGAUAAAGAAAGGUUUAUGCGAGAUAAAAUUAUUUGAUGUUGUUUAUGCGAAAUGAUGUUUAUGAAAAGGUAUUGCGAAAAGGAUUUCAUAAAACCUUAGUCUUUUAGACAUUCUUUCAAAAAUUCAUCUUCCAAGAUGAGGUGUUUAGGCCAAGUAGAGAAGAAGGUUGAAGGAUUUGCAGCGAGAUGACCAGACGUUUUGAAAAUAGUUAAGCAUUGGUUGUUUGGUCAAAGUGUUGUAAUUAUGUAUCAAACACAUGUUAUUAAUAAACAUCUUGGUAGGUAUUUAUUAUACUUGCACGCCUACUCUCACAUUUAGCCAUAUGUUGUACUUUGUUUUCCACCUUGACUUUUAAUGACACACAAACCAACUUUCCAAGGAAUUCCCUUUCAUUUUCCUAUUAACUCAUAUUCUCUUUUUUUAUCAAGUCCUUGAUAGAGAAAGUGGACUUUGAGUUGUUGGACUUUAGUAUUGCAUGGACAUACAAUUUUGAAUGAAAAAUCCUUAUAAAUGGGGCCUUUUAACUCAUUUGAUGGGUUGGCUAUUGAAUUUGGGCUUUCAUACCAAAUGGAAUUUUUUUUCUUAUUUACUUAAAGAAAAAAAAAAAAAAUUUACCACGCCCAUUUUUUUUCAUCUAUUUCUUUCGUCCGGUUCUUUCAUCCAACGAGUCCCACAACUCGAUUAUGAGUCUAGAAGUACUAAGUCAAACUUAGUGGUUGUUCGAAUAAAACGCAACUUCAAAUGUAAGUAUUCUAAAAACCUUAUUUUUUGGUUUAGUCUCGUUAAUUAAGCCCAAUUAGGGUAGAAUUUCGAUUCUUUUUCUGUUGUGCAUGUCUUAGUUCUAUCAGUAACUCCCUUCAGGGUGAUAACUCUCAUCAGCAGACUUUCCAUUACUGGUUUCUUCCUUAGUCAUCAUUAUAUUGUUGUUUUCCACAAUAGAUAGGGUGAGUUGCAGUUUUACAUGAAAUGCUCUGCUCACCCACACUCUUUUCUCACUAGUUCCUUAUUCUCAAUCUUCAACGCAAAUUUCAUCAUCUGGGCCAACCCAAUCGGUUCCACAGUUUCCACUUCCAUUUUUAUUCAUGGGCUAAGCCCAAUCAUCAAAGUCUCCUCUAACACUACCGUUUGAAGAAAUGCUACUAGAGCUAAAUAUCGAUCAAAUCGGUUGCGGUAUUCUUCUAAUCAUUUUCUGUUUGAUUGAGAAAAAUCUUCCAACCAAAGUUCCUUCUCGAAUUGAUCGAAACUGUACAAGCAUUCGUUCUUUCAGGUCAGCCCAAUUCUUAAAAACUUCCAACUCUUCUUGUGCUUGGUACCAAUCCAAUGCCAGAUCAUCAAAACUAAUAACGCUGUGGUUAAUUUCUCUGAAUCAGUAAGAUCAUGUAUCUUAAAGAAGCGAUAGGCUCUAAAUUGAGACCCAUUUCUAAUUUGAGUAAUGAAGUAAAUUUGGCUAGGUAUUAAGAAUUUGGCGUUUGAAUAAAUCCACGAAAAGGAUUAAGCGAUAAAAAAAUUUAUGGUUAAGUAUACGUUAUUGCGAUUCAGUGGGUAGUUCGCGAAGGAAGUUGUGCGACCCAUUUCUAAUUCGAGUAAGGAAGUAAAAUUCGGCUAAGAAUUAAGAAGUUGGUGUUCAAAUAAAUCCAUGGAAAGAUUAAGUGAUAAGAUCUUUUACGGUUAAGUAUACUUUUUUGCGAUAAGUGGUAGUUCGCGAAAGAAGUUGUGCGAUAAGAAGCGAAAAAGUCUUUGCGUAAGUUAGAAAUGAAAGUUUUGAGUGUUAGACUAGGAGUUUUGGGUGGUCUUCGCGAGAAGAACCAAGUGUUUCGUGGAGAAGAAGUCUACGAGGAAGCCUUGGAGUUUAAGUUCGUGAUAAGAGUUUUAUGCGAGUAAAAGUUGGUUAGUUCAUGUGGAACGUUUCUUAUAAUAAAAAUAUAAUCAAGCGAUAAGGUUAUUCACGAGAAAUGUUAAGUGGUUGAAUUUAUUCACGGUUUGGGUUAGGCGGGAGCAAGGUUUGUAAAGAAAAUGUCAAAUCUGAUUUGACAUGGGUUAACAUGUAAGAUUAAGGAUUUGAGCAUGACUAGGUUAAAUAUUAAGGAUUUGCAUGACUAAGUUAGUAUAAGGGAUCUAUAAAAUAGGAGAAUUUAGGUAACUAAGGAGGGGAUGACGAGAGUUUUGUUGAAAUGCUAAAGUGUUGUUGGUUUAGCCACGAAAAGAUGGUUGUGAGAAGGACUUCUUUAGUAAAUUUUGGUGAGUGCUUUUCAGUCAAAAGAAUUUAUGUUAAGAAACUUUAUUACGAUUUCUCUUUACUGAUUGAAAGAAGAAUUCAGAUGAGAAUGUUUCAGAAAGAUUUCUAUGAAAAGUUAUGUUCAAGCAUUAUUAUAAUGUUAAAGCUUGAUUUGAUGACUAUGAUUUCAAUAUUAUGUUUCUUUGAGAUGAUGCUAACUUUUGUGUGCACAUAAAGAGUGAAGGCACUAUGGAGUGUACGAACUACAUGGUAAUAAGAAGCUGACUUAUGCAUUGAAAUGAGCGUAUAAAGCUUAGCGGAUGACAACAAAGACGAAUUUGUAUGUUCUCAGAUGUUGAUACAGUAGUCUAAACGCGAGGUAAUGACACCAGCGUAGAGAAUGAUUCGGGAUCCUUGACAAAUGAAAUGAUUUUUUAAGCAUAAAGAAAGGUUUAUUCGAAAUGAAAUAAUUUUUCGGUAUAUUUAAAUGAUUUGAUAUUAUUUUACAAAAUGAUUAUGAAAAGGUAUUGUGAAAGGUUUUCAUAAAACCUUAAAGGAUUUAAAAAAAAAGUGGACCAUUCAACUUAAUUCCCAUCCACUAUCCUCUUGUCCAACAUGAAACUUUAUCUUAGUAAAACUUCUUGAUCCACUAUUUUACAAAAAUAUUCAAAACAAUACCAUACUACACCAAAUGUGAUAUUUUGGUAACACUAUAAAAUGGUCAGAAAUACCAUUUUCCUGACUUUUUUUUCAUCGACCAUUAAAGAAAAAGUAUAGAUGAUGUUUCAAAAACUUCCAAACCAUUGUGUUAGUUAUCGUUUUAGAUGAGGGUUGGGGUAGAGCAUCAAUACUAAAGGUUGUUAAGGAUUAAGAACUAAGACUUGAAAACAAAACCGCCUGCCUGGUUGACAACAACACCAUCCCACUAGAGUGCACAAUGAUUAUUAUUGCAUUAAGAAGAAGAUGGCAGUUAACCUUAGCGCCAUAAUCAGAACCUCAAUCCUCCCUUUGAUGAAAGCACCUAAAGGUGUCAUGCCUUUCCCCUCUACCACAUUGAAGCUCUUUGUCUAACACUACAAGAAAUGAGGGCUCUCUCGAUGCAUAAAAUCAUUGGGAGAUAUAUAAAAAGCAUCAGAAAAGGCUUUUCUGACAUACUAAUAUACGUUGGAACACAAGUCAGGAAAAAAUGUAUCGGGAGAGGAACUCCCGAUGCACAAUGUUGUGCGUCGAGAGUUUCUAGACAUCUUCUGACGUUGUAUGAACGUCGAAGAUGUUGUCAAUAUAGCAUCGAGAGAUGUCUAGGAACCAUGCGUCGGGAGAUCCUCUAUUUUUUAUUAAAAAAAAUAACUUCAAUUAAUUCCUAAAUUCAAAUUGAAAACUCUAAAUUCAAACUCAACUUCAACACUUCAACCUCAACUUCAACACUUCAAAUUCAAAUUUCUAAAACCUACAACUAAUUCAAAAUUCUAACAACACUUGAAAUUAAAUUUCAACACUAAAACUUACAACUAAUUCAAAAUCUAAAUACUAAAACUAAUUUGAAAUCUAAAAUCUAACACCUAAAACAAAUUUGAAAUCUAAAUACUAAAACUAAUUAACUAAAACAAAACAAUAACUAACUAAACCACUUACCGAUGGCGGCGACGACAGGACGACAACAGGGACGACAAUGGAGAUGACAAUGCCCUCUUCUUCUUUAUCUUCCUCUCGGUCUCCCUCUCCCUCUCUCAUUUUUUUCUCUUUAUGUUUCAUUUAUAUAAAGAAUGGAGUUAAAAAAGGCAGAGAACUCCUGACGCACAACGAAAACGAAUUGGUUCCACAAACCAAUCUCAUCACAGAGGUACUCUUUGCAAUUUAAGCUCUAUUUGCAAUGGACAGUCUUCAAAGUUUUUUUUAACGAUGUUUCCAAUGCUUUCCUUUCUCUCUCAUGUUUAAUAAAACAAAUUUCUCUUAAAACCUGUAGGGAGGCUACAUCGUAUCGAAUUUCAUACAACUGACGUGUUCAUCGAGUUACAACAAGUGCCGCACAAUAGUCUGUUCCAUUUUGAAAAGUUGUGAGUGUGACACGCUCACAUGAGGUUAGAACGAGACAUGGCAAGGCAAGCCCUACGCGCGCCUGCAACUUCUGCCACAAUAUUUUGUAAGCAAGCUGAUGUCUUUAGGCUGUUUUUGUGGUUUUUGGAAAUUUUAAGCAAAGUUUUGAUAUUUUUAUGAUCAACGGGAAUUAAAUGGAAUUAUUUCCCAUUAUUUUUCAUUAUUUUAGAUUUGAAGGAGAUCGACCAAGUUUAUAAGCCAAGGGUCCAAGCUACUCUCUAUAAGUGACAAAAAUGAGUUUAAAGUUGAUUUCUAUACAUGAAUUUACUAUCAAAUGUUUCAAGCAUGCUUUGAUGUUUGAAUAUUUGAGGAUACUGACUAUAAAGUAUUUCCAAAGCAUGAAUUUAGAAACAUUUUGGUAAACAUGUUUUUAUUCAUGAAUUUACUAAUGAAAAUUAUAAGCAAUCAUGAUUGUGCUAAGUUUUCAGAAUGUUUAAGCUUGAAAAUAAUAUUAGCAUGUUUUAGUCUAUACCUAAAAUAUUCUAAGAUAUAUAGCAACCCUUCGCGGAGAGAUUUUCUUGUGCAUAGAGGUCAUUUGAUUUGGAUAUUCAGUAAAUACCUAGCUUUCCAUCAUUGGUAUUAGAUAAGAGAUGAAGACUUCUAAAGAUGCUUAGUUUCCCAUCUCAGGGACGAGAGCUUGUACGAAUGCCUAGUUUUCCAUCUCAUUGUAGUUAUAACGAGAUAGGGCACAAUUGAUGCCUAGAGUUUCAUCUCGUAAGUAUCGUAUCACGGGAUAGGGCUUCUAUGCCUAGUUUAUUGUUUUUCGUCUCGACGAUUAUAGGUAUAACAGAGAUUUGGUUUGAGGUGCUUCUUAAGUCUUUAAUAUUUAUGUUUGUUUUGAUCCUAGGAAUUGAGCAUGUAAUGUAAAAAGUCUAUGCACAAGGGGUCAUAUGGCCAUCUCCGUGUUUCUUUAAUUAUCAAAUUUGUUCAAGUUUUUAAUUGUCUCUAGAUCAAAAUCUGGAGUUAUUUUUUGUGAUUUGGUGUACAAAUACAUACAUCCAUGUUUCUAAUUAUGAUUAGAUUGUUUUCUGCUCGCAACAUUUUAUUGUUUAGCUUGUCUUUGAUCUUGAACUUACUAUUAUGUUGAUUUAAAUUCCAUUUUAGCCUUAGAACUUUCAAAACAUCCAUUUUAGUCAUCGAGCUUCCAAAACGUAGCCAACUAAGUUUUAGUAUUUUGUAAAUUAUUUUAUCAAUUAAUAUUCAUUUAUCCAAUACUCAUCGGUCAUUUCUGCUAUAUGUGAUUGGAAUAUAUCUCAUAGGAAGCAUUUUGAAAGUUGGGAAAAGAUGGAAAAUUUUAGGGACUAGAACAAGAAUUUGUUUAAUAUUUUUUGAUAGGGUGAAUUCUUGCAAUUUCCUUGUCGUAUAUACAUAAUUUUUUCUCUCAUUUGGCAAAUUCAUUAUGCUUGAAAAUUUAGGUGAUUCAUGAGCUAGAUAAAGUAAACAACGUAUGGAAGAUGAUCUUUGUGGCUUGUGAGGAAGACGUGGAGGAAGCCUUGGUGGCCGUAGAAAAAGGGAUAUGGACUUUCAACGUUGAAUGGUUAAUGGCAUGUAUAAUGAGACAAGAAGUAGACUUGGAGGCCCUUAAUUUGCUGAGUCCCUAUGAGAAACAAGGUCACCCUAACUUUCAGUUUUGAACAAGCAGCAGCCAGCCAUUUCGUCCUUGUGUAAAUCCACUCUUUUCUCAACUCACUCUAAUUUGGUACAUAAACAAACUCUGAUCGCUCCAUCUCUAUAUUCAUCAGUACAUAAAAGACGAUAAGUUUAUUCAUGGAGAAAGUUGGAUGUAAGUAUGUUUUAGGAAUGGUCCUUCAUUUAGUAACUUUGGGAAUUGUAAAAAUGAGGUAAUGAAGUUCUAUCAAGUUGAAUGUUCUUGUUUAUGUUAGAUGAGACUGAUUCUUGGAUACCAGAAUUAACUUGAAGUACGUGUUUGAGUUCCAUUGGAGUGAUUAGAGAAAAGAUGUUCCUUUAAAAACGGUAAUUUUUUUAUGUAGACUUUCUUUUUAUUAAAAUUGCUUAAAAUACAAUUUGAGAGUAUUUCAAUAGCUUUCAAAGAGUUGUCAAACACUUGUAGUUUUUCUAAAAUAACAUAUUUUCAAAAUUAAUUACUGUAAUAGUUAAACAAAAGAUUCUUUCCCUUCGAAAUUUUAAAGUUUGUCUAGUUACCUCUUAAACCUUUCAAUUGUUUAAUAGGUCUUUCAAUUUUAUGUUUUAAGUGUCAUAAAUUUUGAUUUUUUUUUAUUUGUUAGAUAUAAAUCUGAAGAAAUGAAUAAAGUAGAUUUGUAAGUUUAAAAUAGUUUAAAAGUUGAGAAAUUAAAUUUGUAGUUUAAAAGUUGGAGUAAAUAGUUUGUGUUAAGUCGGGUUGUGAUAUUUUAUUUAUUUAUUUUAAUAAUAGAAGAGAGGGAGACGAAAACUGCAGACUGAAGGGAGAAGAAGCGGUGGCUGACUUUGUAUAUUUCUCCUUUCUUUUCAAUUUGAGAAAAUUUCUUUGCAAUUCACUUUGAAAAGGAAAUGAAUAUUUCUCCCUCAGACUUAUCUCUCUCUUCUUUUCAAUUUAUUUUCAAUUUUUCUGUGUGCUUCUCACAGUGUAUGCAUAAUCUCUCUUUCAUUUUGAUAUUCAUCUCCAUUUCAAAUAUCUCCCACACAAAGAACAAAGAAAUGAGUAAAGUAACUGAGAGAGCAUUUUGUUUUUCCCUUCAUAUGGUUGGUUACUUUUUGUCAAUUAAAUGAAAAGUGAAGAAUAAGAUAAGAUUUUCUUUACCCAUUUGCCAUCAUCAUCAAAGCUAUUUACCUCAUUUUUGUUCACACACACACAACUUCAUUUUGUUGGAUUACACUCAUUUGAGAAAAUAGCAAAAUUUUAUUAGAAGAAUAGCAAACACGAGCAUUUCAUGUGUUUUGAAUUUUCAUUAACCCUAAAAUCUCCUCGCCUGCUUUUUAGUUAAACUGUAACUAAUUUUGAAAUAUGCAAAAUUUUAGCAUAAAUAUUGAUUUUCUCCUACAUUAUCUUAACACACUUUUUUUCCUCCAAAUAUUGGAUUUAUAUCAAAUCUUUAUUUUCAAAUUUUACUUUAUCCAAAUUUUCAUUUUUCAAAAUUUCAUCGUUAUUCUACUUUUAUUUUUGUAUUUCAUAUAUAUAUAUAUAUUUAUAAUAUUUAAUCUUAUUUUUUCUCUUUUCCUAUUCAUCUUCUUCCUUUCUCUUCCUCUUCAACCUACGGCCACACCACCGUCUCUUUUCUUCCUUCUCUUUUCAUUCUCCAAUCAACUUCACCACCGUCUUCCACCUACAUCGAACGUCAAGCAAAUUUUGUCGUAUCGUCGCAUCACCGUUAGCCCGAGUCACUCCGGUUCCGUCACGCCAUGUAUGUUUAGAUUUGAAUUGUUUGGUUAUUUGUUGCACCGAUCCGUCUCCGUUAGAAUUUGAUUCUCCACAAUUUGGGUAAGUUAUGGAAUUUACAUAUAGAGUGAAUUGAAUGGAUUAAAUUGUUUGUGGAAGUGAUUGAUUUCUCUUCAAUUAUGUUUAGGUCGGUUCGUUGCACUUUAGUUUGAAAAAGAAGCUUAAGUAAGGUUAUAAGCUAAGGGAUUCUCUACUACUGGACUCACCUAUAGUUUUGAAUUGUGCUGUCUGUAUAGUUACCUCGAUUGAGUAAAGAUGUCGAAACGAUAUAUAUACGUAUGAAUGUAGACUUGAUGUUGAAUGCAUAUUGUGAUUGUCUGGGAAUAUAUAUAUAUAUAAAUAUGUAUGGAUGUAGACAGGACGACAAUUGUAGAUUGUGUUUGUAUGGAAUGUGGAUGUGUGAACUUGUGAUUGUCGUUUAGAUUGGGUGUAUGUUAUACUAAAGUAUGGUUGUGUACUGGUGAAUUGAGGGGUGUUAUGACUAUAUAGUUUGAUUGACUGAUGUAUUGAUAUGUUACUGGCGGACAUUGGGCUAAAGUGAGAUAAGUUGACUAUUAGGGUGUUCAGUGAAAGGAUUAUAUGUUGAAGUAGUUGGUUACUAUGAAUGAGUUUUAAGAUGUUUAGAAUGGAUUGAGGGGAAAAUUGUUAGAUUUCUAUUGGGUAGUUACCUUGCAGGUGUCCUACAGGAUCACCACCUGAUAUGUGCAUCCUUCGAUAGCACUAGACUGAUAUGUGCAUCCUUCGGGAGCAUUAGACUGAUAUGUGUUUCUGCGGAACACUAGACUGAUUUAUGCGUCCUUUGAGGCGUUAGACUGAUUAUGUGUAUCCUACGGAUCACAAGACUGUGACUGUGCAGGGUACCCCAAUAGGAAGUUAACAGUUUCUUUUUCCCCUAACGGGACGAAUAACGGGUCUCUUAUUGGGUAUGUUUAUACUCAUCCUUUCAUGUUUAACUAUUUUAGGCAAAGGUAACAAAUGAGGUAGACUGACGAGGGACAAGAAGGAGACGUGAUUGCCAUAAGGGAAUGUCCUUCAAAUGCUUCUGCUUUAUGUUUCUUGUUUUCCUUUGUACAUGAGGUUGUUUAAAAAUUUUGUGAUGGAACUGAGUUUACGAACUGUUGUUUUGUGAAUAGUACUUUAAAGUUUGGAUAUUUGAAAUAGGGCCCGAACUUAAGUUUGUUUUCUUUGAUCGUAUGAUUUCAAGUGAAUUUUACUAUAUUUUGUGUCAAUCAAGGUCUCUUUGUCAAAAUUAAUGACUUCAACUUAGUUAGAAAAGUUGGGUCGUUACAACAAAUUUUAAGUAUUGAUGUAAGAAUUAUGUACUUCAUUAUAAAGGUCGAUAGCUUACAAAUAUUAACACGAUCGUGUACCGAUAACAAGACGAUUGUUUACACUAUUCAAUACGAUCACCAAUAUCAUAUGAUCGUGUACCCAUGUCAACACGAUAAUUUAUUUUAAUCAAUAUUAUCAUUUACCGUUCUUAAAUGUUCGUUUAUCACGGUUAAUAGGAUCGUUUAAUGUAUAUUAUUUCAUUGCACGAUCGUUUACUUAUUCUUGCAUUGUGUUUAGUAUUAUCAUUUUGUACAUUUUAUUCUUUUAUUCAGUAAUAAAUGUAUAUCUAUGUCUAUCUAUUUCUUUCUAUCACAAUUAAAUACUUAAUUUUAUUUUAUUUAUUUUUUUUACAGAUUAUAAUGUCUUUUCCUAUUGUUGUUUUUUACGGAGGUCAAUGGAAUGGAUGUAAUAUUUAUGAGAAUUACUUAGUUGCUGAAAUUUUGGUAGGUGUCCGAGUCAGCUUUAAUUCUCUAGUUGAUUUAAUAUGUGAACAGAUUCAAUUGGAUGGAUAAGUAGAAUUAUCUGUUUUACUUGAUUUUGGUAAAAGCAAGGUCCAACUGUGGUGCCAGUAAAGAAAGACAAUGAUGUGGCUUGGUAUUUAUCUUUUGCUAAAGAUGCAACUAAUAUACAUCCAUUAGUUGCUCAUGUAACUGUUGAUUUUUUUUAGAAGGUCUUCUUCUUCUUAGAGAACUACCUGUAGCUACCAUGCUUAGUUCAAUUAGAGAUGUAUUGCAAAAGUGGUUUGAUGAAAGAAGUAAAGCUACUUUUACAAUGAAGAGUUGUUUGACUUCUUGGGCUGAGAACGUGUUGCAUUUAGAAUAACAUGAAAAGUCAAGAAUUUUAUUGGUAAUUUUUUUUUUUUUUUUAAUGUUUGUAUCUCAGGUAGAUAUAAAUAGAUUGCUAUUUUUGUCCAUUCGAUAGAGAAAUAUAACAAUUUAUGUGUGCUUGUUUCAGAUAUAUAGAGAUAGAUAGCUAUCAAUGUCUAUUUGUCUCUAUUUGUGCAUGCUUUUUUUUUUAAUUUUUCUAUAUUUGUUUUAUGUAUUAGGUUGAUCCAAUUAGUAUGACUGAAUAGAAAGUAAUGGAUGAUACAAAAUGAUAAUGUGAUUUAUUUAUAUUGGUUCUAAUUUGAAAUAUUCAAAUUUACUUUGGAAAUUAGUAUAAUUAGUAUAAUAUAUAAUGAUACAUUAUAAUAUAAAGUUUAUAUUUAAUGAAACUUUAUUAUAUAAAUUUAAUUUUAGAUAAAGUUCAAAAUUAAUUUAUGAGAAAAUAUUUGAAUGAGUUCAAAUAUUAAUUUAAUGUGGAUUUGUUUCAUAUUAAAACUAUUAAUUAUGAGAUAAAGUUAUAUUUGAAUAUGAUUCAAAUUUAACUUAAGUUAAAUAUAAAAUAUUUAAUUUAGUUAUUAAUUAAUUGAAGAAUUAAUUAAUAGUUUAGUUUAAUAUUAUUUAAUUAAAUUUGAUUUAAUUAAAUUAAUAUAAAACUAUGGGUAUUGGAGAGAUAUUCAUUCAAUAAGAUUUAAAUGAAAUAUUAAUUAAAUAUGAUUUAAUUAAUUAUUAACUAAUUGAUUAAUGGUUAAUUAGUUAGUUGAUUUGAAACUUCUAUUAAUUUAAUAUUUUUUAAGUUAAUAGAAUCCUAUGAUUUUCUCCUACCCCGUCUCCUACUCAAUGAAAGAAAGAGAGUUAUAAAUAUGUAGAAGAAAAACAUCUUUUCUUAACCAAAAUAAAAUCGAUGAUUUUCUUUUCUGCAAAAUAGAUUGUAACGACCUAAUUUUUCGAAUUAAGCUGAAGUUAUUACUUUAAGACUAGAUUCGUCUUUAACCAUAAGACUUUAUAAUUUAAAAAAUAUAUUUUUUAACAACAUUAAAGAGUUUUUAUUCGGCUCUAUUUCAAAUAAAAUUUUGAAAGUGUAAAAGUAUCGAUAAUAAAGAAAGUUCAAGAACAUAAAAGUCGUUCAAUCAUGAAACCCAAAACAGUCUCAAUUACUAAAGAAAACCAAAAAAAAAAAAAAUAUAAAGUAAAAGCAAUUUGAAGGACAUUUCCCUAUGGCAGUUUCGCGGAAAAAGAUUAAACAUAAAAGGGUGAGUAUAAACAUACCCAGUAAGGGACCCACUACUGAUCCUGUUUAGAAGAAAAAUAAAAUUGUUAACUUCCUAUUGGAGGUGCCCUGCACUUUAAAAGUCUUGUGAUCAUGUAGGAAUACACAUAAGCAGUCCAAUGCCCUAAAGGACACAAAUACUAGUCUAGUGCUCUGCAGAAAGCACAUGUCAGUCUAGUGCUCUCGAAGAAUGCACAUGUCAGUCUAUUGCUCUCGAAGAAUGCACAUGUCAUUCUAGUGCUCUCGAAGAAUGCACAACAGGUGGUGAUCCUGUAGGACACCUGCAAGGCACACUACCCAAUCGACAAAGCUAACAAUUUUCCCUUAGUCCAUUAUAAACAUUUAAUCAAUCCAUUCCUAGUAUAGUCAAACUACUCCAUCAUAUCAUCAAUCCAACUUAACACACUUACGUUCAAUCUAUUCAAUCUAUCACAAAAUCAGUUGAUACUAUAACAACACACCAGACAGUCAAGAUAUAUAUAUAUAUACAUAACACCUUUCUCAGUUUACAAAUACAUUAUCCAUCGUAUCUACUUCUAUACCAGUAAGUUUACAAACACUAACUGUUGAGUUUCUACAGUAGAUUCUUGAAGAUGUGACUCUUGAACAGAUGGAUUCUCAUGGAUGAUCACAUGUUUGUUAUUUUGAUGGUCAUCAUUCUUGUCUAGAUUGUGAUGACUAGAAUCAUCACGAAGAUCAUCAUACAUGUUGUUAAUAUCAUCAAACAAUUGAUUCUGAUUCUAGUAUAGAAAGAAAAAAGGAUAAUAAAAAAAUAGUUACAAAAUGAUCGUGUAUCCUUAAGCAAACAAUCGUGUAGAAUAUCUAAACGGUUGUUUUACCAAGGGUGAUCGAUAUUUUAGAUGGGAUAUGCGAUCGUUCAUAUGUGAUAUGUGAUCGUGUAAAGAUAUAUCAAACCUUUGUUCUGUCAGAAGUCGUGCUAAGAAGAGUUGAAAGCUUGUAAUAAGAUCCAUCAAAACUGAAAGAUUUUACAUCAACACGUUCCUGACACAGUAAUGCAGUAUCAAUGAGCAUCAAAUUACGUGAGAUACGUAUUAGAAAAUAUCUAACUGCUCAGUUAAUUUUUUAUGGACAUCAAAUCACCUUUUUUCAAGCUUAAGGAAGGAAAUGUCGACACUAUAUAUGUCAGAGUUGUGCAUUGCAAUGGAAGUGCCAACACGAGGUGAUACAUGUGUGUCUGGGAUGUAAAUGCCACUCCCCGACUAGGACCAACAUAGACUUAGGGAGAAAGCAUGCUAGGAAUUGGAGUUGUGUCCUCAAUUUCUUCAAGGGACUUGAGCAUUUCUUCUUACACUAGAAUGUCUCCUGUUCAGAGAGUUUAUAGGAUUUCUCAAGGCCAUUUUUGCAUACUUAACAGCUCUUGACAACGGUAGAGAGUCUAACUCUACACUUUCAAGGGGUUCCAACUCCACCACUCGCUGAGCCAAAGAUAGAGACGAAUCAUUAAUGAUCCAGUAAGCAACAUGAAACCUUGUAAUUUUGGGGUUAACGGUAGUCCCUCCCAUUACUAGCUCAACACUUAAACGGAGUCUCCUCUAUAAAAUAUAAAAUAAUACAGACACAAAUAGUGAAUGAAAUCUUGUGACGUAACAAACACAAAUUUUAGGUAUACUGCAAUUUGACUAAAUAUUGAACAAGAAAACCCAAGGGAAUACACAAAAAUCCAACGUUUUUAGGGGUCAAUUUGGAAAAUGGCAAAACUACUUUUUCUUUUCAAUUUUAGCAAACAACAUUUUUUGCGCGUGCAUGGUAUUUUAUAAAAUACCAAAAUAUUCAACUUCUCCAACUAUAAUUAUUUUGUUUUUACGUUAUAAUUAAUUUAUGUUAUGUAUUUAUCAACUUUUAAUUAAUUUUUACUUGAAAUAGAUACAUUAACUCAUAUCAUAACUUUUCUCUUAAAAUCUCAGGACUCAAUUAAUUAAUUCAAUAUUUUAAUAACAUUAUUCAAUCUUAUUAAUUUCAAAAUAAUCUAAUUGAAUUUGAAUUUCAAAAUAACCAAAUUGAAUUUCAAAAUUACAAAAUUAUUAUUUUCUAGAAUUUGAGAAUCUCAACGAUAGAUUUUAUAUUAAAAUAAACUUAUCUCAAAAUAAUUUUAAUGACUUGAAUAUCAAGAUAAUUAAAUUAUUAUUUUAAAAAUUGGAAGAAAAGCACAAAAAGCGCACACGCCCACUCACGUACACACGCACGCGCGCGUAUACGCACACACACGCACACGCACACGCACAAAAGCGCACACGUGGACACUCACACCCACGCACACGUAGACAUACACACCCACGCACACGUGGACACGCGCAUACGCACACACGUACGCACUCACGCACACGCACGCACACACGCACAUAUGCACAAAGAUGUAUAAAUGAAUUAAAAUUAAAAAAUAACUACAAUAAUUUGACUUACUAACGUUAAUUAAAUUAUAAUUUCUAUCAAUAUUGGUUUAAAAGUGUCAUUAAUGUAAUUAUUUCAAUAUAAUGCACUCUUAUCCAAUUUUACGAACAAAAAACAAGUCGAAUAUGUACCAUUAGAUGACACUCUUUGUCAUAAGAGAUAUAGCAACGUUUUUAUGGGUCAUUUUGAAAAAUGGCAAAACUACUUUUUCUUUUAAAUUUUAGCAAAUAGAAUUUUUUACACGUGUCCAUGAUAUUUUAUAAAAUACCAAAAUAUUCACCUUCUCAAACAGUAAUUAUUUCGUUUCUACGUUGUAAUUAAUUUAUGUUAUGCAUUUAUUAGCUUUUAAUUAUUUUUUACCUGAAAAAGAUACAUCCUUUUUCUUAAUAUCUCGGGACUCAACUAAUUGAUUCAAGAUUUUAAUUUUAUUCAAUCUUACUAAUUUCAAAAUAACCUAAUUAAAUUUCAAUUUCAAAAUAACAAAAUUAUUAUUUUUCGAAAUUUGAGAAUCUCAACGAUAGAUUUUGUAUCAAAAAUAACUUUAAUUGAAUUUCAAAAUUAAAAAAUAUUAACUUGUUCGCACACAAGCACACGCGCACACGUGCACAACGCACGCACACACACGCACACACACCCAUCCACACACGCACACGCACACGCACAUAUGCACACACGCACAAAGAUGUGUAAAUUAAUUAAAGUUAAAAACAAAUACAUUCAUUAUGUUCAGAAAGAGUUUUAAACCAUGUUCAUUUGACUUAAUAACAUUGAUUAAAUUAUAAUUUCUAUCAAUAUUGGCUUAAAAGUGUCAUUCGUGUAAUUAUUUCAAUAUAAUGCAGUCUUAUCCAAUUUUACGAACAAAAAACAAGUCAAAUAUGUACCAGUAGAUGACACUCUUUGUCAUAAGAGAUAUAGCAACGUUUUUAUGGGUCAUUUUGAAAAAUGGCAAAACUACUUUUUCUUUUAAAUUUUAGCAAAUAGAAUUUUUUACACGUGUCCAUGAUAUUUUAUAAAAUACCAAAAUAUAAACCUUCUCAAACAGUAAUUAUUUCGUUUCUACGUUGUAAUUAAUUUAUGUUAUGCAUUUAUUAGCUUUUAAUUAUUUUUUACCUGAAAAAGAUACAUCAACCCAUAUCAUAACUUUUUUCUUAAUAUCUCGGGACUCAACUAAUUGAUUCAAGAUUUUAAUUUUAUUCAAUCUUACUAAUUUCAAAAUAACCUAAUUAAAUUUCAAUUUCAAAAUAACAAAAUUGUUAUUUUUCAAAAUUUGAGAAUCUCAACGAUAGAUUUUGUAUCAAAAACAAUUUUAAUUGAAUUUCAAAAUUAAAAAAUAUUAACUUGUUCGCACACAAGCACACGCGCACACGUGCACAACGCACGCACACGCACGCACACACACUCAUCCACACACGCACACGCACACGCACAUAUGCACACACGCACAAAGAUGUGUAAAUUAAUUAAAGUUAAAAAAACAAAUACAUUAAUUAUGUUCAGAAAGAGUUUUAAACCAUGUUCAUUUGACUUAAUAACAUUGAUUAAAUUAUAAUUUCUAUCAAUAUUGGCUUAAAAGUGUCAUUCGUGUAAUUAUUUCAAUAUAAUGCGGUCUUAUCCAAUUUUACCAACAAAAAACAAAUCGAAUAUGGAUCAGUAGAUCUACACUCUUUGUCAUAAGAGACAUAACAACGUUUUUAGGGUCAUUUUGAAAAAUGACAAAACUACUUUUUCCUUUGAAUUUUAGCAACUAGCAUUUUUUGCACGUGCAUGGUAUUUUAUAAAAUACCAAAAUAUCAACAUUCUUCAACUGUAAUUAUUUCGUCUCUACAUUGUAAUUAAUUUAUGUUAUGCAUUUCUCAGCUUUUAAUUAUCUUUUACUUGAAAUAGAUACAUCAACUCAUAUCAUAAUAUUUUUCUUAAUAUCUCGAGACUCAACUAAUUAAUUCAACAUAUUAAUAAUUUUAUUCAAUCAUACUAAUUUCAAAAUAACCUAAUUGAAUUUGAAUUUCAAAAUAACAAAAUUGAAUUUCAAAAUAACAAAAUUGAAUUUCAAAAUAACAAAAUUGAAUUUCAAAAUAACAAAAUUAUUAUUUUUCGGAAUUUGAGAGUCUCAACGAUAGAUUUUGUAUUAAAAUAACCUUAAUUGAAUUUCAAAAUUAAAAAAUAUCAACCUGUUCACUAUCUUUAUCUCAAAAUAACAUUAAUGCCUUAAAUAUCAAGAUAAUUAAAUUAUUAUUUUAAAAUUGGAAGAAACUCAACAUUAAAAAUAUUAACUUGUCGGACACAAGCAUAGAAGCACUGCGCACACACGUACACAUGCACACUUACACACACGCGCGCACACGCACACCUACACACAGACACCCACAGACGCACGAACCCACGCACACACACAUGCACACGCGCACGCAUGCACACACACACCUAUCCACACGCACACAAGCACACACACAUGCACAAACGCACACACGUGUACGCACAAACCUUAUCUCAAAAUAGUUCCUAUUUUUGCUGACAGUUUAUUUUUUGCCAUCGAUAGAGGAUCUUCCAAUAGACCUACGUGACGGUGUGUGUUGACAGCUUAAUUUUGUUGGCAAAAGAAAAGUUGAUUAGUUUUUGAAGAUUUACUGACGAUAUUUGUCAUCGACAAAGGGUAAAUUUCUUGUAGUGCAUGUACAUCAAACAUAUCAAAUUUGUUAAGUGUACCAAUGAAGUAUAACAAGUUUAUUAGUGGUGUAUCACGUGUAUCAAACUUAUUAGUGAAGUCUUUAAGUGUAUCAAACUAAUCAAGUGUAUCAAGGCCUCAGGGGUAUCAAGUGUAUCAAGAAGAAUCAAGUGUAACGAGAAGUAUUAUGUGGAACGAGAAGUAUUAUAUGUAUGAAGAUGUUUCAAGUGUGUAUCAAAAAGUAUCGAGUGUAUCAAUGAGUACCGAGUGCAUGAAUUGUAUCUAUCAAAUGUAUCAAGUGUAUCAGUAAGAAGUAUCAAGUGUAUCAAGGGUAUUAGGUGUAUCAGACGUGUAUAAGGUGUAUCAAAUAUACAUCAAUAACGAGGGCAUUUGUGACAUUUUACCUCUUGAUGUGUGAGUUGGUCUUUGUUUUUGUCAUUUUCUCAAAUAAUAAAGUAUGUGUUCUAUGGACUUAAUUAUUAUAACUUAUUUUGCCAUUUUCGCAAGUGUCCCUUAAUUGUAAUACAUGUAUAUGUGACAUAAUCUAAUCAAACUAACUCAUAAAUGGACUUAAUGUAUCAAGAGGUAUUAGGUGUAUCAGACGUGUAUAAGGUGUAUCAAAUGUACAUCAAUAACGAGGGCAUUUGUGACAUUUUACCUCUUGAUGUGUGAGUUGGUCUUUGUUUUUGUCACUUUCUCAAAUAAUAAGGUAUGUGUUCUAUGGACUUAAAUAUUAUAACUUAUUUUGCCAUUUUUGCAAGUGUCCCUUAAUUGUAAUACAUGUAUAUGUGACAUAAUAUAAUCAAACUAACUCAUAAAUGGACUUAAUCUAUCUCAUGGACCACGAAUUCUUCAAUUACUUGCAAAUUUGGUGAGUUCCUUCAAAUGGUGGGCGGAGAGCUUAAUUUUGAGAGAGAGGAAAAGUCGUGAAGAGUAUUUGCGAGAGAGGGGGGAACGUCGCCAGAGAGCAUUUGCGAGAGAGCUAAAGACAGCGACGAUGUGGGAUGAAGUAAGGUUUUUUUCGGUCAUUGUUCACAAGUGGGAUGAAAGCUUCGAAUUAUUUGUUUUAAAUCAAAAAACGUAUGAUUGAAGGAAAACAUUGAUUUUUAUUAGGGUAAUUUUUUAAUGACACAUAAUUUAUGCCAUUAUUUACAAUGCCAAAAUUUUGUCAAGAAAACUCAAUUUGUGUCACAAAAAAAUUUGUAUUUUUAUUUUUUUAACGACACAUUUUAUUCCCUCAUAUCCCUUUUUCUUGAUUUCAAGUGUCAUUAAAACUUAUAUUUCUAAAUAAAUUUAUUCGACGAAAGUGGCUAGAUUGGUGGGUUUGACGGCGAAGGCUUGUUGUGGGAGCAACGACAACAGUGGUUGGAGUGUGGAAUCGACGACGGCAAGUGGCAAAAAAUUGGGGGCAAGGGUUCUUCAUAACGACUCGAUAGCCCACUUCGAAUUUUUUUGAAAUUUGAGGUUUUUUCAUUUGAAAAUUUUUUUAAUGACAAAAAAAUUGACGUUAAUUAAUGACGCAAAAUUUGUGUUGAAAUAAAUUAAAUUGUGUCAAUAUGAUUGUUUUAAGAAAUAAUCCAUAUUUAUAUUUUCAACAACACAAUGUACCUCAUCCCACCUCUUUUUUCUUUUAUUUUCAACGACACAAUGUCUUGAUUAAAAUCCAUUUUUCUAGUAGUGACUGAAAAAAAAACUGGACAGAAUCAUAAUAUCUUUGAUAAUUAAAUCACCAGUUGGUUUGAACAUAUAUAAUCUUGGAUCUAUUCUAUUAUGAUAUGACCAUGGUACAUCAUGAACAUACAUUGACUAAAAAACUUAAAUUGAUGAGUGAAUGUAAUAAAUUUAAUAUUAAUUAUAUGAUCAAUACUUUACACAUGUAUAUUGGUAUAUCAGUCAAUAACAGUAGUAAGACAAAUUAUAAAAUAUAAGGGAUAAAAGUCCUACACAUGCAUGUAUGGUAUACUCUCUUGAUAGCAAAAUGCAUUUAUGUCAACUCAUGUUUGAAUGCAUUUAUGUAGGAAAUUCAAUAAAAUAAUUAAGAAACCUUGCAAUAUGUGAGAGAUAUACGAACUUCAAACAAAUUUUACAAGUUUCAGCAAAAAUUUUCAAACAACUUUUAAAGUUUAAGCAAAAAGUAACCGUAGGUAGGAAGGGGAGCAAAAGUGGGGUCUCGAAUUAAUUCUGAAAAAUUAGUAGGCUUUCAAAAUUUAGGUUCUAGAAGUAGAAUUAUUGCAGAAAAAUAAAUAAUUGCAUCAUUCAAAUUGAAUCAGACAUAUCAGGAUGUAUAUAUUCUCCACAACGUAUAAUGGAGUAUAAACAUAAAGUUUCUAUAUACAAAGCUAUGUAUCUCUACCCUUGACUUCUCUUUCUCUCUUUCUACCUUUUUUAUCCUUUCUUUCUUCCAUUCACUCAAUACACUUGCAAGAACCUUCAUUUUUUUGUAUUUAAAUUUUCUUGGCACCAUCCUUUUUUUUAAUUAUCAAGGCUUUGUUAUUGUGUACCAGUAUUGUGUCGUGCCUCCUUCACUUCUCAUCAUCAUUUUCAUGUCACAUCUCUACCUUGUCAAUUUUCGUUUUUCACUCAGCUUUCUUUCUUCUUUUGUCUUCACUACUUUCUUCGCUCCUUCUUCUCAAGCUCUAACUUUUGCUAUUAUCAACCAGUCUCAAAUGACCAUUGGAAAACCUAUAGCCCACUGAGAGGCAGCCAAUAUAGUAAUGUCUCUAAUGAUAAACUCCAAUGAAAUCAAAAGUUCUUCUUUAAGAUUUGGAAAAAUAUAUUAGAUAAACCCGGACGUGGUGAACGCGGUGAACGCAGACGCACGGACGGUGAACACGGCAGAAGUUAGAGAUCCUCAGAGAGAACUUGGCAUUUUCGAAUGCGGUAGAGACAAGUCUAGGGCUUCAAAGGAUUCAACCCAAUAUUUUCUUUAUAUAUAUAUAUAUAUAAUAUAUAUUAUAUAUAUAUAAAUAUAUUUAAUAACACUUGACGUUUUCAAAAACGUCAAGAAAAACGAUCUUACUUAACGUCUAAAAAAACAUCAAGAAAUUUAAAAAAUAACUCUCUCUGGCUUUUUAUAAAAAUUCUUGACGUUUUAAAACAUAAAGAAUUUUUAAGAUAUUUCUUGACGUUUUUAAAAUGUCAAGUAAAAGUACAUAUUACUUGACGUUUGAAAAUUUUGAAGAAUAUUGAAUAUAUAAACAUUCUUGACGUUUAAAAAUGUCAAAAUUUUUAUAGAUAUUUCUUGACGUUUUUAAAACGCCAAGAAAAAAUACAUAUUAGUUGAUGUUUAAUAAACGUCAAGAAAUCUGAAAAUUGACCUACCCGCCUUUUCGUAAAAAUUCUUGACGUUUUAUCUUUGGAACUACUCCUUUCUUGACGUUUUUUUUGAAAAAAAUGUCAAGAAAGAAAAACAACAAACGUCAAGAAAGGCCUUUUUUGUAGUAAUGACAUACAUAAAUAUAUAUAUAUACAUAUAUAUAUAUAUAUAAUGAAUUAAAAUGGUUUUGUUGCUUUACUGUUUUACUCUAUAAAGGAAGAGCAUUAUAAAUAUAUUAUUGAGGAAACAUUUUUUGAAAUGACUGGUUUUGGAAGUGUCAUUAGAUUUUUAGUUAGUUAAGCACAUUUUCCUCCCAAAUAGUAGUCGAAAUACAACUUUUUUUAAGAAGAAGAAACCGAAUCAUUCAAACUAAGAUAAUCCUAGGAUAAGAGUCAUUAUCUAUUAACAUAGAGCUAAAGUUACAAGGUUGAAGGCUAGAGGGAAGCCCGAAACAACCUAAUCUAACAAAGCUUAAAGUUAAGAGUUGGUAGUAACAUCAUAUUGGUUACAAGAUGAAUGACGCCUAGACCAAACUCCGAUCAAGUUACAUAUGUCUUCCCACAAGUAAACAAUAAACCUUGAUUUAUCCUUAAAAAUUCUAUUGUUUCUUUCUAUCCAAACAGUCCAAAGUAAGCCAGUUAUGGAGGGAGGAAUACACAUUAGAAAGCUCAGUUAUGGAUGGAGGAAUACACAACUUUUUCUCAUGGUCAUUUUCCUCGUGGGCAUUAUCUUCAUGUUUCUUCUUAUUCCGACUAAAAUACAAGCACAAAUUAUUCUUCGCCUUCGUAUAGGUUUGUUUGAAGAAGAUUAAAAAAGUCCUUAAUUUAUCUCGACACUUCCAAAACCAGAAUAUAAUACCCGUGCUACAUAAAUCCCUCUUUCCAAAUAGUCAAACAUGAACUAUCCAUGAAUAUCUUGAAUAAACAAGAGAAACCCUAACUAAACCCAAAUAGAAAAUACGCUGCAAUCUAAAAUAUACUUAAAGAAACAAAAAGAAGUUUUAAUGAUGUGGGUUUUUUACUGAUCUUCUUCAACAACAAAAUAACUCAACGCCACAGUUCAAUUUUUCCUUCCACGAAUUGGUUUUUAAAGAGUUUUCACCGCGAAUUUAUCUUUUUGGUUCAACAAGUAAACAACAUGUGAAUCCCCAAAUGCAAGGUUUUAUUAAAAAAUUAAAAUAUAAUUUUUUUAAAAAAAUUAUAAUACCUAAUUUUUUUUUAUAUAUUUAUAACCUAAUUUUCUGUCAUUGCAUACUUGAGAGAAAUAUAUUUUCAAUUAGCAUAAUAACCUUUAUAUAGUAAAUUAAAUUUGUAGAAUGAGAAAAGACCUUAGAUCCAAAAAAGUUAUUUAUUUAUUAUUGGAGUGAAUUGUCUAAUUAAUGUAGUUAAUGGAUGGUUUUGUAACCAUAAAAAUAAUGAAAAUAAUUUUCUAAAAGAAUGAAUGAAAAUUUGGAAAGUUAAAAGGUUUUAGGAAUUAAAAAAAGGGUGUAACAUUAUAAAAGACUACCAAAUAUACUGUAAGAGACAUGCAUUAAAGAAGCUAAGGCAUGCAUACUACCAAAUAUACUAUAAAUAAACCAGAAUUCUUUUUAAGAAAUUAAACAACUAAUUAAAUAUAAAGAAGAAAGAUUAGAAAAUGAAUGAUCAAACAAACUAUGACUCAUUUAUUUUUGACAGGUUCGGCCAGUAUCACCUGACAAUUCAUUUUCACCAAGAGAAUAAACAUGAGUAGCCUUGGAAUCAAGUUCCUCCGAUAAAAGCCACGGAGUUGAUGGGUUAGAGACAGAACCAGAAUUUGAGUUCAACGAUCUGGAUGGAAAAUUCUGAAACUAGCAGCAACAAGAAGUUAAGAUAACGAAUUAUUUUCAAUAUAGAAAGGCUAAUUGUAAGAAGUUGUUAAUGAAGUGUCCAAAUGCAUUAUGGUAAUAUUGGGUGCAGAUUGUUUGGAAGUUUUAUCCGUGUGCUGUGAAGCACCACAGAGUUGAAGCAUAUGAAACCAGUGUUUAUCUGACAAAAAAUAAUGUCAUGAUCAUUGCCUUUCCAUUCCAUAAAUUUAUGGAUAGCAAAAGAAAGAGAACUCUCAACACAUGAAUCACCAUAAAGACACACAUGACAACAUUAUUUUGGAUGAAGUUCUAAUAUUGCAACCAUGGAGGAAAAAUCAGCAAAUCUUAAAUAGAUGUAGUAGUCCAAAUGAUAAAAGUUUGUCUCAAGAUAAUAUUUCAGUAACUGCAGAUGCAUUGUGCUGAAUCUAACUCUUGUGUUUCACGGUAAUGAACAAGGACAAUGUGUUCAAAGGUCCUGAACAAAAAGCAGAAGCAAGUCAUAAUUAUAUAAGUAGAACACGAUAUACUGCCACUGUCUAAUUUCAUUUUUCUUUGCUUGUGGCAUGAUGGGGAUAGACCCCACUGAAACAACUGGUAGCAAGCAAUUUAACAAUUUUCUUUCAACCAUAACAUACUUAUCUAGGAGCCAAUAACCCGCGAACAAAGGUUGGGCUAUCUAGUCCGUGGCAUAGUAUACAUGUAUCCUUUCUACAUUACCAACCUGCUGAAGAGAAAGAAAAGAUUAUCAAAGCACACCUUUCCUUGGUUAUUAAGGCUGUAAAAGAAUGAAAAUUACCAUAAAUCUAAACAUAGUUAAUAUUAGACCAUUGAACAACUUAUAGAUUCAAAAGGAAAGACUCAAACCACCAAUAGACUGGUUAAUCAUUUAAAAUGAUCUCCAACAACAUGAUACGCAGUAUAUCGUGCUAGAUCCAUAAUUACCAGAUGUGGACUCCUAUGGUAAUUUCAUUGAUGAUACGCAGCUAGUAGGCAAGAUUAUGAAAUGAAGACGGUAUGUGAGACGAUUGAAAAGAUCAAGAUGAUAAAAUUAUAGGGAUUUGAAUUUAUAUCUUAAGAACACCAGAGUCAAAUGCUUAAGAUGAUUAACUGUGUUAAAUUUAACUCUAUAAUAUAUAAAUUAUUAGCAAAAACAGUAGAAAUUACUUCAAAUUUGUAGAGAGAACAUAUAAAUUAUAUUCUAGAGAAAGAGCAUCUGAAUUAUAUUCUACAGAAACACGAGCCCAUAGUAUAUGUACUGAGUAGCAAUGACAGUGAAAAAGGGAAUAGUAAGUAACUAAUCUCAUAAACCCCUUUCUCACAUCUAACCAAGUUCUUUCACAACAUGCAAAAGCAUCAAAAUAUUUAAGAAAACUUCCAAUAUUGCAUUUGGAACUCAUUGAUUGACUUCAACGUUUAAGAGUCCUAAAAGACACAGCUUACUUUCUCACCUCUCACCACUAAACCUAUGGCAACAUCUUUUUAUAAGAUAUUAAGCUAAUCUUUAGAUUGUUUACCGAAUAAUCGUCUAUUGUUUUGUAAUUGAUCCCACCAAGCGCUUACGCCACCUUGAAGUUUGAGAGCAACUAAUCGAACCUUCUUGUGUUCGGGUGUAUUGGCAUAGUCGAAAAAAAUUUCUACGUUCUUGAUCCAAUCAAGAAACUUCUCCACGUCCAUUUGACCAUUGAAGGUAGGGAGAUCCACUUUCAUACGUAUUUCUUGAUCUUCUUGAAAGUAUGGUCGAAGUCCAAGCCUUUGUUGAGGUUCUUGAUGAAUGUUCAGCAAGUUGUUCAUCGGAAGAGUCAGAAUCGUUUAAGAAAUUUCCAAGUACGUUGUUUCCAUACAAUCGAUUAUUGUUGAUGUGAAUAGGUUGAUUUCUUAGUAGUUCUUGGUUUACAACAGGGUUUAUUGGUUUUUCUUGUCUUUCUUGGUUUGCUGCAAUUGGGUUUCUUGGGGGCUGAAUUGCUUCUUCUAAAGGUUGGACAUGAAAUCGGGUAAAAAGGUUUGUUAAUUCUACUAACGAUUGCUGUAUAUUCGAUUGCCCUUUUCGAAGUUCUUCAAUAGCUUGUUCUACCAACUGCAAGCGUUGGUUGAAGGAGGCUUCCGCGUCCAUGGAUAAGAGUGGUAGGAUCCAAGUUUUUUUAGGGAAGAGUGAGCUAGGAUCACGCUCUGAUACCAAUUGAUGCAGUAAUUGCAAAGCUAGAAAUCUUUAUGUAUAAUGCCUCUUUUUUUAUGUCUUAUUAAUGAAAAUGAGAAGCUUUUUUAUAGGCUGGAGAUUACAAGAGUUGUUAAACUAACUUGGGGUUGAGUUAGUUUAACUUGGAGUUGAGUUAGUUAUAACUAACUCAAGAUACAAAAUUGGUAAUUCAAAUAACUAAUCCUAAACUAUAAAAAUGGUAAUUCAAACCCCUCCUCUAGGAUAAAACUCAAGAAACAUCAAGAAGGUAGAUGUUCUACAUCAAAGUGUAGAGAACGAUUCAAAAUCCUUGGUGAAAGGAAUGAAUGUUAACUAAUGUGUGUUUAUGUGAAAUUGUUAUGUUAUGAGUAUGUUAAGGAUAAAGAAUGGUUUAUGCGAGAUAAAAUUAUUUGAUGUUGUUUAUGCGAAAUGAUGUCUAUGAAAAGGUAUUGCGAAAAGGAUUUCAUAAAACCUUAGUCUUUUAGACAUUCUUUCAAAAAUUCAUCUUCCAAGAUGAGGUGUUUAGGCCAAGUAGAGAAGAAGGUUGAAGGAUUUGCAGCGAGAUGACCAGACGUUUUGAAAAUAGUUAAGCAUUGGUUGUUUGGUCAAAGUGUUGUAAUUAUGUAUCAAACACAUGUUAUUAAUAAACAUCUUGGUAGGUAUUUAUUAUACUAAAGUCAAAGUGUUGGACUUUAGUAUUGCAUGGACAUACAAUUUUGAAUGAAAAAUCCUUAUAAAUGGGGCCUUUGAACUCAUUUGAUGGGUUGGCUAUUAUAUUUGGGCUUUCACACCAAAUGGAAUUUCUUUUUCUUAUUUACUUAAAAAAAAAAGAAAAUUUACCACGCCCAUUUUUUUCAUCUAUUUCUCUCGUCCGGUUCUUUCAUCCAACGGGUCCCACAACUCGAUUAUGAGUCUAGAGGAUACUAAGUCAAACUUAGUGGUUGUUCGAAUAAAACGCAGCUUCAAAUGUAAGUAUUCUAAAAACCUUAUUUUUUGGUUUAGUCUCGUUAACUAAGCCCAAUUAGGGUAGAAUUUCGAUUCUUUUUCUGUUGUGCAUGUCUUAGUUCUAUCAGUAACUCCUUUCAGGGUGAUAGCUCUCAUCAGCAGACUUUCCAUUGCUGGUUUCUUCCUUAGUCAUCAUUGUAUUGUUGUUUUCCACAAUAGAUAGGGUGAGUUGCAGUUUUACAUGAAAUGCACUGCUCAACCCACACUCUUUUCUCACUAGUUCCUUAUUCUCAAUCUUCAACGCAAAUUUCAUCAUCUGGGCCAACCCAAUCGGUUCCACGGUUUCCACUUCCAUUUUUAUUCAUGGGCUAAGCCCAAUCAUCAAAGUCUCCUCUAACACUACCGUUUGAAGAAAUGCUACCAGAGCUAAAUAUCGAUCAAAUCGGUUGCGGUAUUCUUCUACAUUCAUUUCUGUUUGAUUGAGAAAAAUCUUCCAACCAAAGUUCCUUCUCGAAUUGAUCGAAACUGUACAAGCAUUCGUUCUUUCAGGUCAGCCCAAUUCUUAAAAACUUCCAACUCUUCUUGUGCUUGGUACCAAUCCAAUGCCAGAUCAUCAAAACUAAUAACGCCUGUGGUUAAUUUCUCUGAAUCGGUAAGAUCAUGUAUCUUAAAGAAGCGAUAGGCUCUAAAUGUGAGACCCAUUUCUAAUUUGAGUAAUGAAGUAAAAUUGGCUAGGUAUUAAGAAUUUGGCGUUUGAAUAAAUCAACGAAAAGGAUUAAGCGAUAAAAAAAUUUAUGGUUAAGUAUACGUUAUUGCGAUUCAGUGGGUAGUUCGCGAAGGAAGUUGUGCGACCCAUUUCUAAUUUGAGUAAGGAAGUAAAAUUCGGCUAAGAAUUAAGAAGUUGGUGUUCAAAUAAAUCCAUGGAAAGAUUAAGUGAUAAGAUCUUUUACGGUUAAGUAUACUUUUUUGCGAUAAGUGGGUAGUUCGCGAAAGAAGUUGUGCGAUAAUGUAACACCCGAACUCUAAGGUAAUUAAUUUAAUCGGACCAUUCGAUAUUUUUACUCUUAAUUUUUGUUCGACGUCAUUUUGUUGUUUUGUCUUAAAAAAAAAAGUGUUGGAAAAGUCUUUCAUAAUAAUAAUAUAUUAUUAUUAUUAUUAUUAAUUAGCAUAAAAAAAAGGAAAAGAAAAAGAAAUUAAAAUAUCUUUUUCCUCUCUCCCCUCUCUCACGCGUGCGACACCCUCUCUCCAUCUUUUUCUUCUUCUCUUUCCUGUACCCUAACCCAGCCGACCAUCAUCUUCUCCCCUUCCCUUGCCGUUCAGAUCCAUGGCCUCCGCCCACCGCCGCGUGACCCUCUGCCCAGCCCCGCCGCGUGACCUCUGUCUCCGUCGAAGCCAAGUCCAGCCGUCGUCCAUUCCUUUCCUCUCUUCUUCUCCGUUCGUGAAGCCCAGUCGCCGCGUCAGAUCGUCGAUCGAUUUUGAGGCAGCGCGCACGCCUCCUUCUAGCCGCGCGUUUCCUCUUCUUCCAGCAACGUGUUUUUUCUUCUAACCGCGAUUCACAAACCGACGUACACUCUAAUCUGUUUGCACGAUGGUUUUUGUUUAGAAUCGAUUGCCGCUGCCCCUAUUUUUACUGAGAUCCGUCGAAGUAUUGUUGGUAAGAUUGAAGUUAUGAAAUUGUAGUCGUUUUCAAAACAAUUUAAGUAUGGGUUGUGAUGUUUUCAAGGUGUUCAAACGUUACGGAUGGGUUAAUUGACUAAUUUGAUAAAUUAUUCUUGAAGGUGUGAAAGGUAACCUUGGAUCACUUAAAUUCACAACCAAUUUGUGAAUUUUGAUUUCGAUUUCGUUUGCCCUUAUUUGGAUUGUUUCGUGGACGAUAGUUGAUUAAGGGAGCUUCCCUAACUUUGAGGUAAGGGACUUUCUACUGGACUCACCUAAAGUUUUUGAGUUGUGUUGGACUGUAUGGAUGAUGAUUAAGAUGUACACGUUUGGUUGCAGACUAAAUGUUUAGUGUAUGUUGUAUUUGACUGGAAACAUAUAUAUAAAUACAUUGAUGUGUGAAUUGAUGUGGAUUGCCGAAAGUAUACAUGUGAAUGACUGAAAUUAUGCUUAUGUGUACAUGAUGAUAUUAAUAGAUUGUGCUGUAUAAAGAUUUGGAUGUGAACUAGUGAAUUUGUUUCGGUUGAAUGUGGAUUAUACUGAACUGUGGUUUGCGCUGGUAAAAAUGAGGGGUGUUGUGACUUUGUUGUUUACUUGACAGAUGUAUUAAAAUGUUAUCAACGACCUUCGAACUUAAGUGAGAUAGGUUGACUGUUAGAAUGUUGAGUGAAAGAACUUUAUAUUUUGAAGUAACUGAAAGAUGUCAUAAAUUACCGUAAAGAUGGUUAGAAUGGAUUGAGGGGAAAAAUUGUUAGUUUUAUUGGGAUGUAUGCCUUGUAGGUGUCCUACGGGAUCACCAAUUUUUAUGCGACCUUCGGAGCAUUAGACUGAUAUGUGUUUCUGCAGAACACUAGACUGAAAUGUACGUCCCUCGGGGCGUUAGACUGAAAUGUGCAUCCUACGGGAUCACAAGACUGCGACUGUACAGGGUGUCCCAAUAGAAUGUUAACAAUUUAUUUUCCCCUGACGGGACCAGUAGAGGGUCUCUUACUGGGUAUUUUUAUACUCACCCUCCUUAUGUUUAAUUUUUCAGGCAAAGGUAAUAAAGGCAGCAAACCGGCGAGGGGCAGGAAGGAAGCGUGACCGCCACAGGGGACACUUUAAAAUUUUGCUUCCGCUUAGUGAUUUAUAGUAUUAUUUGUAUUCGAACGUGAGACUGUUUAGAAAAUUUUGAAGUUUUAAAGUAUUCAAAGAUUUGAAACUUUUUAGUUUUAAAUUUUCAUGUGAAUUUUAGUAAUUUAAAACUGGGGCCCAAACAAACAAAAUAAAUUUUGUUCUUUUGAGGUUUUAAAUUUUAAUUAACCAAGGUCUUUUGUCAAAAGUUAAUGACCUCGACUUAGGUAAAAAGUUGGGUCGUUACAGAUAAGAAGCGAAAAAGUCUUUGCGUAAGUUAAGAAAUGAAAGUUUUGAGUGUUAGACUAGGAGUUUUGGGUGGUCUUCGCGAGAAGAACCAAGUGUUUCGUGGAGAAGAAGUCUACGAGGAAGCCUUGGAGUUUAAGUUCGUGAUAAGAGUUUUAUGCGAGUAAAAGUUGGUUAGUUCAGGUGGAACGUUUCUUAUAAUAAAAAUAUAAUCAAGCGAUAAGGUUAUUCACGAGAAAUGUUAAGUGGUUGAAUUUAUUCACGGUUUGGGUUAGGCGGGGAGCAAGGUUUGUAAAGAAAAUGUCAAAUCUGAUUUGACAUGGGUUAACAUGUAAGAUUAAGGAUUUGAGCAUGACUAGGUUAAAUAUUAAGGAUUUGCAUGACUAAGUUAGUAUAAGGGAUCUAUAAAAUAGGAGAAUUUAGGUAACUAAGGAGGGGAUGACGAGAGUUUUGUUGAAAUGUUAAAGUGUUGUUGGUUUAGCCACGCGAAAAGAUGGUUGUGAGAAGGACUUCUUUAGUGAAGUUUGGUGAGUGCUUUUCAGUCAAAAGAAUUUAUGUUAAGAAACUUUAUUACGAUUUCUCUUUACUGAUUUGAAAGAAGAAUUCAGAUGAGAAUGUUUCAGAAAGAUUUCUACGAAAAGUUAUGUUUUCAAGCAUUAUUUAUAAUAUUAAAGCUUGAUUUGAUGACUAUGAUUUCAAUACUAUGUUUCUUUGAGAUGAUGCUAACUUUUGUGUGCACAUAAAGAGUGAAGGCCACCAUGGAGUGUACAAACUACAUGGUAAUAAGAAGCUGACUUAUGCAUUGAAAUGAGCGUAUAAAGCUUAGCGGUAUAGCAACAAAGACGAAUUUGUAUGUUCUCAGAUGUUGAUACAGUAGUCUAAACGCGAGGUAAUGAGACCAAGCGUAGAGAACGAUUCGGGAUCCUUGACAAAAUGAAAUGAUUUUUUAAGCAUAAAGAAAGGUUUAUUCGAAAUGAAAUAAUUUUUCGGUAUAUUUAAAUGAUUUGAUAUUAUUUUUACAAAAUGAUUAUGAAAAGGUAUUGUGAAAGGUUUUCAUAAAACCUUAAAGGAUUUAAAAAAAAAGUGGACCAUUCAACUUAAUUCCCAUCCACUAUCCUCUUGUCCAACAUGAAACUUUAUCUUAGUAAAACUUCUUGAUCCACUAUUUUACAAAAAUAUUCAAAACAAUACCAUACUACACCAAAUGUGAUAUUUUGGUAACACUUAAAAUGGUCAGAAAUACCAUUUUCCUGACUUUUUUUUCAUCGACCAUUAAAGAAAAAGUAUAGAUGAUGUUUCACAAAAACUUCCAAACCAUUGUGUUAGUUAUCGUUUUGGAUGAGGGUUGGGGUAGAGCAUCAAUACUCAAAGGUUGUUAAGAAUUAAGACCUAAGACUUGAAAACGAAACCGCCUGCCUGGUUGACAACAACACCAUCCCACUAGAGUGCACAAUGAUGAUUUAUUGCAUUAAGAAGAAGAUGGCAGUUAACCUUAGCGCCAUAAUCAGAACCUCAAUCCUCCCUUUGAUGAAAGCACCUAAAGGUGUCAUGCCUUUCCCCUCUACCACAUUGAAGCUCUUUGUCUAACACUACAAGAAAUGAGGACUCUCUCGAUGCAUAAAAUCAUUGGGAGAUAUAUAAAAAGCGUCAGAAAAGGCUUUUCUGACGCACUAAUAUACGUCGGAACACAAGUGAGGAAAAUGUAUCGGGAGAGGAACUCCGAUGCACAAUGUUGUGCGUUGAGGGUUUCUAGACAUCUUCCGACGUUGUAUGAACGUCGAAGAUGUUGUCAAUAUAGCAUCGAGAGAUGUCUAGGAACCAUGCGUCGGGAGAUCCUCUAUUUUUUUUUAAAAAAAAUAACUUCAUUUAAUUCCUAAAUUCAAAUUGAAAAUUUUAAAUUCAAACUCAACUUCAACACUUCAACCUCAACUUCAACACUUCAAUCUCAACUUCAACACUUCAAAUUCAAAUUUCUAAAACCUACAACUAAUUCAAAAUUCUAACAACACUUGAAAUUAAAUUUCAUUACUAAAACUUACAACUAAUUCAAAAUCUAAAUACUAAAGAAAUCUAAAAUCUAACACCUAAAACAAAUUUGAAAUCUAAAUACUAAAACUAAUUAACUAAAACAAAACAAUAACUAAACUAAACCACUUACCGAUGGCGACGACGACGGGACGACAACAGGGACGACAAUGGUGAUGACAAUGCCCUCUUCUUCUCAAUCUUCCUCUCGGUCUCCCUCUCCCUCUCUCAUUUUCUUUCUCUUUAUGUUUCCUUUAUGUAAAGAAUGGAGUUAAAAAAGACAGAGAACUCCUGACGCACGACGAAAACGUCGGGAAUAGCACCCUAUUCAUGACCUGAUUUGUUAAACGUCAGAAAUCCCUAAACAUAUUCCCACGCGAUUAAUGAUACGUCGGGAAUCCCUAAAUCUAUUCUCAACGUUGCUGCCACACGUAAGAGGAAGGCGUUACAUACAAUUAAUGAUCUGCCCUUCCUCCGACGGUUCCUAAGCUUUUAGCUUUUCUGCAAUCACCCCUUAUGCAUGUUCUCAGGCGAAUCUCAACCAAACCAUAACACUCCAUCAAAAUAAAGAAGAAGAGAGACACCUCAAAACCUUAAAUAAAGUUAAGGGAGAAGAAUGGAAUGACAGAGAAGAAGAAGAGGCUUCUCCGCUGCCACCACUACUCAAGAGGAGAAAUGUCCACGAUGACGCGUCUAACUCGUAUAAAAAGGAAAAAAGUCGAAAGCUAGACGUGGCCAUCGACCCUAAACCUCUUGCAAUCUGACCCCUAACUCUCUCAUUGCCUCCUCCAAAAUCCAAAUCCUUCAAUUCCAGUCCUCAUCCAAAAAUUGAAACUCCCCCUCAUCAAUCUUACCCAAGUCCUCUCGCAUGUCUAUUAUCCUCUCACCACCAAAUCCCCCAUCAUUAUAACAACAUCCUUCACCUCACGACCUGACCGAACAAGCCCUUACCCGAUCAAAAGGGCAUUGUUAGCGAAGAAGAAUUCCUUAGGGUUGAGGAGGAAGACCUGCAUCACAUUCCUCUCCCUCCGCACACUACUAUACGUAAUUCCAAGGAGGAAGACUUACAUCUCGCGUGUAAACACCGAUACCCAAUAAUCCUUAAUUCAUCUAAAGAACUCAAUAGGACAUUAGGGGUUGAUGUUAGGAGAAAGAUGGUUUAAGAUUGGAUAGUUUAGUUGAAGUGUUAUGGAAGAUGUGUUAAUAUUUUUAAGAUGAUAAAAGAAAAGUGUCAUCGUAACAAAGAAAGGCCUAAAGGGUGUUCGAAAAUUGGCUAAGUGUUGGCUAGGGCAUGUUGCAUACUCUAGGCGGCCAAAAGUGUCAAGCGAACCUCUAAAGAGACAUGUUGGGUGGCCAAAGGUUGAGAUGUGGUAUGGCCGAAAGGUGUCAAGACAACCUCUAUAAGACAAGGCUAUAUGACCAAGGGUAUGCGCUAGGCAAGGAAGCUAAGCAUCUAGGAAAUGUCAAGAAACUCUAAAGAAGUUAGAACGUGGAUAAGGAAUGUCAUGCAACAAAGAGGUGGGCUAUGUGGACAUAGGUCAUGCGGCCAAUGGGGCAAUUCAACCAAAUGCUAGUCAAGAUGGCAUGGUUUGUUGAAGGCAUUGAGGGAUGUUUGGGAGAUUAGGCGAGAAAAAAAAGUCUUAGGCAUUCUUGGCAGUAAGAAUUUACUAAAGAACCCUCAUAGAAAAAGGGAUAUGCGUCCAAGGAUGACUUAAGCAAUAUGAGGUAAGAUGUGCGGUAGAGUACAAGUGGACAACAUACAAGAUACCUAAGUUUUGCCAAAUAAGUGUCUUGCAUGAGUUGGAAAGUGGCAAGUAUGGGCGUAAGAGGUGAGAAAAAAAGGUUCAACCAAAGAGCAUGCAAGGAUCACUAUAUGUACAACUUUGGACGAAUUAUGUUAACAAUCAACUUGUGUUAAUUGGGUAACUCUACUUCGAAAAUCUCCUAAAUUGAGUGUAGUAUCAAGAGAAAGGCUACCAAGAAGAAAGGCAUUGAAGUGAAGAAAGACUCAAAGGUCAUUUUCAAAAAAAAAAAAAAAAAAACUUGAACAAUGUAGAGUAUUUUGAGCUACAUAACUCAAUACUUGGAAUUUGUUAGUGACACUUUGUGGUAAGCUAGUGAAGACAUUCUAAGUAAGUUUGUAGAAGGAAUCUUAUUGAUUUAAGCUUCAAAGUCGAGUUAAGUUUCUGGUAGAAAAAUCAUAUUUCUAGACAAGGCCAUGGGUGGGUUGAUUGCCAGGAUGACAAGGUGAGAUGAGCGUGUGUUUUGAGCGAAAGAGGUUAUUUAGGCUUGGGACAUGCAAGAAGCAUGUCCUGGCAUGAUCAAGCAGCCUGAGCCACGCGUCAUUACACACUCUAUUAUGAAAGUUGAGUAUAUUGCUACUUGUGAAGCAGCAAAAGAAGCAGUUUUGGUGAGGAAGUUCUUGCAUAAUUUGGAAGUUGUUCCAAACAUGAACAUGCCCCAUCACUUUAUAUUGUGAUAAUAGUGGGGCAUAUUACUAAUCCAUUUACAAAGACUCUCAUGGCUAAAGUGUUCGAGGGUCUUCUAGAAAGUCUAGAUCUGCGAGUUAUGUACAUUAGGUAAUCUAGGAAAAGUGGCAGAUGUGUAAUGGGUAUGAGGAUGCCCUAGUUUAUUGUAUUUGUAUAUACACAUUUUAUGUAAUACACUUGUACAUUUUACCAUUUUCAAUGUUAGAGGAUUACUUUAUUAUGAACAUCCCAAAGAGACGAGAGUUUUAGUCCAAGUGGGAGUUUGUUGGAAUUUAUGUCCUAAAACUCGUAGAUUGUAAAUAUAAUCCAUUGACCAUUGUUAAUAAAGUGUUAUUAUUGUAAUAAUUGUUAUUGAUUAUAUUAUUAGUUUUGUCUUAAUAACUCAAAUCCAAUAAACUAACAUCCUAAACUGUUUAAUAAGUAUUGAAUAGUAUGUAGAGACAUACAGGGAUCAAUGUUCGAGAUCAGCUUAAAGGGUCUAUAGUAUACGGAUAAGACUGGGUACCUUUAUCCUGGUAACAUUAUGAAUACGACUCACUUUGUAUUUGAUACAAAUACAAUGAUCCAAUGUGUUCAUGUAGUUGACAUGCGAGUGAAGGUAUCCUAUGCAAUGAGAUUGCAAUAGACUAGACUGUGAAAUAGUAACCACUUGGUGUUACUACAUUAACUAGUUAGGUUUCUAUUUCACUAGGAUGACCUAGAUAACUUAGUCUUAAUCUUGAGUGUAUUAUGAACUCAAUGAUCUUGGAUGAAUUUGACUUCAAAUACAAACUUGGAUUCCACAACCUAAACCAAAAUAAAAUAAUAUAUCAUGUUAAGAUGGAUUCACAUAGCAACAUUUUAUCAAAUGGUUGCAAUGUUUCAAAUAAGCAACAAUUAAAAUUCACAUAUCGAUUUGGCAUCUAUAAAUAUACAAACUAAAAAGUACCUAAAUGUCAAUUAUUUACCCAAUAAGGCUAACUAAGUAACCAACGUCUAAUAUGUUUUGCAAUGAAAAAGGUUGCCAUAUUGUUAAUUUGGCCAUAUUGUGAAGGCAACCUCUUAGAUGUGUUUGUGAGAAAGGAAAGAAAUACCAAAAUAAGUAUGGACUAAGAUAGUAUCAAAUAAAGUUAAAGUUGAAUUUUAAAGCUCUAUUUUUUUCAAGAUAGAGAAAUUUCAGCUAAAGAGGAAAACACUAAGGACAACCAAGCAAAAAAGUCUAACAAAUAUCAAAAGAGAACAUGCAGGAAAGAAAGAAUGUAAAUAAGGUUUUAUCCGCACCAAGCAAAAAAGUCUAACAAGUAUCAAAAGCUUCAUAAGUUGUACUAGAAUUCAAAGCUCUAAACUCUAAAGAAUGUAAAUUUCUUUGAAGAAAUUUGUGUAUAAAGGUCACACAGUUGAAAAUUCAAUACCUUUUCAAGAAUGUUGUUGAGAAGAUUAUUGUGAUGAAUCUUUGAAUCCAAAUUAUGGAGACAAGAUAAAUAAAUGAGUUCUGAUUCUAACUGACUGAAUGAGAGUUUAGAAAAUAAGAACAUUGGAGUUGAAUUAUCAGCAUUUAUUUUAAUCAAACUUACGAUAGCAAACCAAAUUAUAGAGAGAGAUCAAAUGCUAGGAUAAAGGAAUAAUCUUACAUUUGGUGAGUUCCCAAAUGUUGUGGUAGUCACGAGAGUUAUUCCACUCGAAUUGUCUUAGACAAGAGGCUUCCAUUCAGCAAGUACUGGUGAGAAUUAAAGUGGAAUGACAAACUUAAAAACACCUAAUCUUUAACAAACUUUUCCGACUUUUUGCAAUUAUUUUUUAACACAAGAUAUCAAAACACACUUAAAAACCAUAACAACCAAUUACCAUAAAACGGUGUCCAAUAACAAUAAUUGGGUCAACCCAAACAUCAUCAAAUUCUUGGGAAAGGUUGUGGACUAGACCUUCACCAUCUUGCCCCUAAAACAAGUUAAAGCUUAAGGAAAGAACACAGUAGAAACAAAAAUCAUAAACUCAUCAGUUAGAUAGUAUUGGUGGUCAAAACCUCAAGGUCUCACUUCUUCCAUUUUAUAUUACCAAAUUUGAAAAUGAUUUUUAAUAUAUGAUCAUUACUUGAAACAUGUUGGUGUACAAGUGUGAAUGAAACUAAAUCAAGUUUGUGUUUUAUGUUAUUGUUUUUGACAGUAUAUUUAUGUGCUAUGCAAUCCAUGAGAGUAUAUUUAUGUGCUAUGCAAUCCAGAAGGGGGAAUGCAAGCUAUACCCAAUUCAUAAUUGUAUUUGGAACACUAAUGAUUUUAGCACAAAUUCCAUCUUUCCAUUCUCUAAGACAUAUAAACCUUAUCUCCCUCACUCUAUACCUUGGCUAUAGUGCUCUUGCAACAUAUUAAAAUUCUCGUAAUUAAAAAUUCAUACACAAUUUAAAUUAAAUUAAACAUCAAGACCCCUGACGAAGAUGAAUCUCUGUUCAUUUUUCUUUUUAUUAACAAACAAAAGUUUUUAGGUCAACUUCUUUCAACAACCUCCUCAAGGAUCCUUAAUUAUCUCUUUCCAAGUUCAUAACCACUCUAGUCAUGCAAAGAUUAAGGUUCAUGGCCAAUCAACAAUUAAUCUGUGAUUAAGAUAUUAUGAACGCUAUUCACAUAAAAACAUGAAAAGAUUAAGAGCAAAUAAUCAGAUGCAUUACAAAGAAUAAUUCAUAAACUUUGUCUACAUCUAUCCCUAGGAUUAAGAGUUUAGCUACCCCAUACUUCACAAUCUAAAACACAAAACUCAAUACAAUACCCAUAAAAAAAAUUAAAGGAGAAGAAAAAGAAAACGAAGAAGAAAAGCUAGUGAUUCGUAUUAUUAUAAUACUGUGUAUAACAGUAUGUGUUUUUUAAUAUUCUCUGUUUCCAGCUCCAAUGUACCAAAAUAUUAUCACAAACUCCACAAUCCUUCUCUUUCCAAUCCCUAAACUAACCAAUGAAUCAUAUUCGCACGCUUGGUAGCCUUGUUCAAAAUAUUAUAUAUUACAAUUAUAAUAACUUGUAUCCCCCCUUUUCAAGCCUAAAAUGCAAAACCUUUCUUCCAUUCUCUAAGGCAUAUUUCCUCUUCUUUAAUUUUGCAUUCCAAUUUUAAAUUACAAAUUACAAAUUUUAAUCACAAAGGAAAAAAGGAAAAUUAUUACCUUUAGAAAGGGAAGAAAAUAAAUGAGUAACCAUGAAGGAUUUGGAAACGAAUAGAGGUUUAGCGAAAGUGGAAUGCGACAGAAGGACGGUGAAUGUGUUUACUCGUUUUCGAACAGAGAAUGUGUUUACGCAUUCCGAACGGUGAACAGACGGACGCAAAUCAACGAAGGUGAAGGGAACGCAAAGCAGACGGACGGUGACGGACGAUGAACGCAAAUGAAUGAAGGUGAAUGCUUAUGAACGCGAAGGGAAGUCUUUUCCGGCGAUGAACGCAGAUGAAUGCACAGAUGAACGCGAAGGGAAGGUUAGGUGAACGACGCUUUUGAUUUCGGGUGGAGAAGGGACAAAGUCGCGGCGAAUUAGGUUUAAUUAAGAAAAGGGGAAGUGAUCUAAUUGAAACGUUGGGUUUUGUAAAAGAAUAUUAACACAAUAAUUUUUUAGAAAUUUCUUGACGUUUUUAAAACGUCAAAAACAAAUUAAAAUUUCUUGAACUUUUUAAAACAUCAAUGAUUUUUUAGAAUUAUCUUGACGUUUUAAAAACGUCAAGAAUUUUUUAUAAAUUUCUUGACGUUUUUAAAAAUGUCAAGAACUUUUUAGAAUUAUCUCGACAUUUUAAAAACGUUAAGAAUUUUUAUAAAUUUCUUGAUGUUUUUAAAACGUCGAGGAAAACUAUAUAUUAUUGACGUUUAAAAAACAUCAAGAAAGUUGAAUUCAUAAACAUUCUUGACGUUUUUUAAACGUCAAAAAUUAUUAGAUAUUUCUUGAUGUUUAAAAAACGUCAAGAAAAAGUACAUCUUACUUGACGUUUAAUUGCAUAAAAAACGUCAAGAAAAAACGUCAAGAAAGUUGAAAAUUGGCCUUUCAUAAAAAUUCUUGACGCUUUUUUAUUUGAAAUCACAUCUUUCUUGACGUUUUUGGGAAAAAACGUCAAGAAAGGAAAACUACAACCGUCAAGAGAGCCUGUUUUUGUAGUAGUGAUUUUGGGGACAAGACUGAGUGGGGAGUUGGGAUUAUAAUUGCACAAAAUGGAAUUCACUCAUUUCCUACUGUAGGAUAAGUAGAUGAAUGUUAGCUUAAAUGGUGUCUCCAAAACUUAAACAAAGGGCCCGUACUCUCUCUAUGACAUGAGAGGGGUUUUUGUUUAUUAGUAGGACCAUAAACAAGUUGUUCAUUAGAGGAGCACUAGUUUUUAAGGAUUAGAGGUAACAUAGGGGUAAAGCGGUAAAUUGAUCCAACUGGUGUUACAAACACUCGUGAAGGACUAACUUACUAUUAUUGGUCUAUAUCCGUGGACACAGAAAUAUAUUUUUAGUGAGAAGAGUUCAGUUGUGAGUCUUUAGUGGAGUGUACACACAACUAACGAAUAUUGAUUAAUGUGGUUAAUGAGUUUAGCCAAUUAAUCUUAGAUCGUUGUAGCUUCUGAUCUGUAGGUCCACUAGGUCCCUUUCCUAGCUCGUAAAGGGUAAUGAGAUUUAUUUGUAUUAGUUGUAAUUUAAAAUGUUUAAAUUUAACUUGGGAAUUAGUAUAAUGUAUAGUGAUACAUUAUAAUAUAAAGUUUAUCAAACUUUACUAUAUAAAUUUAACUUUGGGGAUGAUUUAAAAUUAAUUUAUGAGAGAUAAAAUAUUUGAAUGAGUUCAAAUAUUAAUUUAAUGUAAAUUGGAUUCAUAUUAAAAUUAUUGAGAGAAACUUAUAUUUGAAUAUGAUUCAAAAUUAAUUUAAGUUAAAUAUAAGAUAAAUAAUUUAAUGUUAUUAGUUAAUUGGAGAAUUAAUUAAUAGUUUAGUUUAAUAUUAUUUAAUUAAAUGUGAUUUCAUUAAUUAUUAACUAAUUGAUUAAUGUUUAAUUAAUCAGUAGAUUUGAAAUAUAUAUUAAUUUAAUUGUUUGUAAAUUAAUAGAAUCUCAUAGUUCUCUUCUACUUCAUUUUUUAUUCCUAGAAGGAAAGAGAGUUAUAAUAUCUAGAAGAAAACAAUUUUCUUAAAAAAUGAAUAUAAUAAAAAAAGAAAAAAUAAGGCUAACGCUAUUGCUCUUUGCAAAAAGAAAAGAGUUUCUCUCAAUAUCUCUAAACUUUUUCCCAUCCCAAUUGGUUCCACAAACCAAUCUUAUCACAGAGGUACUCUUUGCAAUUUAAGCUCUCUUUGCAAUGGACAGUCUUCAAAGUUUUUUUAACGAUGUUUCUAAUGCUUUCCUUUCUCUCUCAUGUUUAAUAAAACAAAUUUCUCUUAAAACCUGUAGGGAGGCUACAUCGUAUCGAAUUUCAUACAACUGACGUGUUCAUCGAGUUACAACAAGUGCCGCACAAUAGUCUGUUCCAUGUUUGAAAAGUUGUGAGUGUGACACGCUGCACAUGAGGUUAGAACGAGACAUGGCAAGGCAAGCUCUACGCGCACCUGCCAACUUCUGCCACAAUAUUUUGUACGCAAGCUAAUGUCUUUGGGCUGUUUUUAUGGUAUUUGGAAAUUUUAAGCAAAGUUUUGAUAUUUUUAUGAUCAACAGGAAUUAAAUGGAAUUAUUUCCCAUUAUUUUCAUUAUUUUAGAUCAGAAGGAGAUCGAACAAAUUUAUAAGCCAAGGGUCCAAGCUACUCUCUAUAAGUGACAAAAAUGAGUUUAAAGUUGAUUUCUAAACAUGAAUUUACUAUCAAAUGUUUCAAGCAUGCUUUGAUGUUUGAAUAUUUGAGGAUACUGACUUAUAAAGUAUUUCCAAAGCAUGAAUUUAGAAACAUUUUGGUAAUGAAAAUUAUAAGCAAUCAUGAUUGUGCUAAGUUAUCAAAAUGUUUAAGCUUGAAAAUAAUAUUAGCAUGUUUUAGUCUAUACCUAAAAUAUUCUAAGAUAUAUAGCAACCCUUCGGGAGAGAUUUUCUUGUGCAUAGAGGUCAUUUGAUUUGGAUAUUCAGUAAAUACCUAGCUUUCCAUCAUUGGUAUUAGAUAAGAGAUGAAGACUUCUAAAGAUGCUUAGUUUCCCAUCUCAAGGGACGAGACCCUGUACGAAUGCCUAGUUUCCAUCUCAUUGUAGUUAUAACGAGAUAGGGCACAAUUGAUGCCUAGAGUUUCAUCUCGUAAGUAUCGUAUCACGGGAUAGGGCUUCUAUGCCUAGUUUAUUGUUUUUCGUCUUGACGAUUCUAGUAUAGCAACUGAAAGGGAAAGUUUGAGAUAAGUUGUUUGAGUUUGAUUUCAUUUAUGUUAAGAGUUAAUUGUUAAAUACUUAUUAUUUCAAACAAUGUUUUAUAAAACAAUCACUCAUUGGGCUAUUUAGCUCACUCUUUGGAUAAAUAUCCCCAUAUGGAUUACGUUGUUUGGAAAAUUAAACUGUCUUUAGUACUUCAAAGAAAACUUCCCUCCCAUGUCCUCUCACCUCAUGUCAUCCCAUUUGUGUUGAUAACAUGAAAAAUAUUUAGCACCUUUUAAUUGAUUAUGUCUUUGUAUCGAAAUGUUGGUUCCGUCUUCUCCAAACAUUCAAUAUUUGUUGGGAUUUUUUGCUCAAUCAAGGCUUAUUCUUGUUUGUUCUCGACCUGCUACCUAUGAUUUAUGAUUUUGUUUUGGACAUAUUAUUUUAUCAUUUUGUUUGGUUUUAUAUUUGUGGCUUUUUUUUUGUUUUGUUUUGUGUUUUGUUUUUUUUUUUUUUUGAAAAGGAGACAACCUCUUUAUUAAUAUUAAAAUAAUAAAAUAAUUAGACAAAAGCUCAUGGUACAAGAGAGUUAUACAAUGAACAUGUAACCAUGGAUCAGAGGGUGCACCUUGGCAUCUCAACUAGGUUGACACCCCCAUAGCACCCUCAUCAUAUCCAACCAAGCUAAAACCCAUAACAAAGGAGUAAUGUCCAAAGGCAAAACAAACACAAAAAAAGCCUUCUAUUUGUGGCUUUUGUUUUGAUCUUGUGUUGUCGCUUUUUGGAUGUGAUGAGGGCGCUAAGGGGGUGUCAACACUCAAACCUUAUGACGUAACAAAUGCAAAUUUUAUGACGUUUUUAGGGGUAGUCCCUCCCAUUACUAGCUCAACACUCAAACGGAGUCUCCUGUAUAAAAUAUAAAAUAAUACAGACACAAAUAGUGAAUGAAAUCUUAUGACGUAACAAAUGCAAAUUUUAUGUAUACUGCAAUUGACUAAAUAUUGAACAAGAAAGCCCAAGGGAAUACAAAAAAAUCCAACGUUUUUAGGGGUCAAUUUGAAAAAUGGCAAAAUUACUUUUUCUUUUCAAUUUUAGCAAACAACAUUUUUUGCACGUGCAUGGUAUUUUAUAAAAUACCAGAAUAUCAACAUUCUUCAACUGUAGUUAUUUCGUUUCUACAUUGUAAUUAAUUUAUGUUAUGCAUUUAUCAGUUUUUAAUUAUCUUUUACUUGAAAUAGAUACAUCAACUCAUAUCAUAAUAUUUUUCUUAAUAUCUCGAGUCUCAACUAAUUAAUUCACAUAUUAAUAACUUUAUUCAAUCAUACUAAUUUCAAAAUAACCUAAUUGAAUUUGAAUUUCAAAAUAACAAAAUUAUUAUUUUUCGGAAUUUGAGAGUCUCAACGAUAGAUUUUGUAUUAAAAUAACCUUAAUUGAAUUUCAAAAAUAAAAAAUAUCAACAUGUUCACUAUCUUUAUCUCAAAAUAACAUUAAUGCCUUGAAUAUCAAGAUAAUUAAAUUAUUAUUUAAAAUUGGAAGAAACUCAACAUUAAAAAAUAUUAACUUGUUCGCACACAAGCAUAGAAGCACUGCGCACACACGUACACAUGCACACUUACACACACGCGCACACACGCACAUCUACACACAGACACCCACAGACACACGAACGCAUGCACAUACACAUGCACACGCGCACGCAUGCACAUACACAUGCACACGAGCACGCAUGCACACGCACACACCUAUCCACACGCGCGCACAAGCACACACACAUGCACAAACGCACACACGCGUACGCACAAACGCACACACUUAUACACAUACGCACACGCGCACAAACACGCACGCACGAGCACACACACACCUAAGCACACACGCAAUAGCCUGCGCACACACACGCACGCACAAACACAUACAAACAUGCACACACCCACACAUAUAUGCACACGGACACUCGCAACAAACGCACGCACAUACACAUACGCACACCUACCUACACGCACACACGUACACACGCACAUAUGCAUAAAGAUGUAUAAAUGAGUUAAAAUUAAAAAAAAACUACAUUAAUUGUGUUUAGAAGGACUUUUAAACCAUGUUCAUUUGACUUAAUAACAUUAAUUAAACUAUAAUUUCUAUCAAUAUUGGCUUAAAAAGUGUCAUUCGUGUAAUUAUUUCAAUAUAAUGCGAUUUUAUCCAAUUCUAUUUGCAACAAACAGGUCGAAUAUGAACCAGUAGAUAUACAUGUCAUAAGAGAUAUAGGAACAUUUUUAUGGUCAUUUUGAAAAAUGCAAAACUUUUUGUAACGACCCAACUUUUCUAGGUAAGUCGAGGUCAUUAAUUUUUAAUAAAAGACUUUGUUGAUACAAAAUGAAGCGUAAGUCAAUUUAAAAAAAAAUAUGUCAGGCCUGAUUUUCAAAUAUCAAGAAAACUUAAAAAUAACACUAUUUACAAAUAAAAGUUUGUAAACUAAGUUUUUAGUACAUCUUAAACCUUAAAAGAAACAUAAGCGGAAGCAAAAUACACAUUUCCUAUGGCAAUCACGCUUCCUUCCUGCCCCUCGCCGGUUUGCCACCUUUAUUUCCUUUGCCUGAAAAUUAAACAUAAGAAGGGUGAGUAUUUUAAAUACUCAGUAAGAGACCCUAUACUGGUCUCGUCAGGGAAAAUAAAUUGUUAAAGUUCUAUUGGGACACCCUGUACAGUCGCAGUCUUGUGAUCCCGUAGGAUACACAUUCAGUCUAACGCCCCGAAGGACGUACAUAUCAGUCUGACGCCCCGAGGGACGUACAUAUCAGUCUAACGCCCCGAGGGACGUACAUAUCAGUCUAACGCCCCGAGGGACGUACAUAUCAGUCAAGUGUUCUGCAGAAACACAUAUCAGUCAAAUACUCCCGAAGGUGCAAAAUAAAUUGGUGAUCCCGUGGGACACCUACAAGGUAAACAUCCCAAUACAACCUAACAAUUUAUCCCCUCAUUCCAUUCAACCCAUCUUUCAGUUACUUCAAAUCACAAAGUCCUUUCUUUCAACAUCCUAACAGUCAACUUAUUUUACUACAGUCAUAUGUCUGUCAAUAAUAUGCUAAUACAUCAGUCAAUCACUAUACAGUCAAGUCAAUACACCCCUCAGUUCACCAGCACAAACCACAGUUCAGUAUAAUCCACAUCCAACUGAAACAAAUUCACUAGUUCACAUCCAAUCUUUAUACAGCACAAUCUAUUAAUAUCAUCAUGUACACAGAAGCAUAAUUUCAGUCAUUCACAUGUAUACUUUCGGCAAUCCACAUCAAUUCACACAUCAAUGUAUAUAUAUAUGUUUCCAGUCAAAUACAACAUACACUAAACAUUUAGUCUGCAAUCAAACAUGUACAUCUUAAUCAUCAUCCAUACAGUCCAACACAACUCAAAAACUUUAGGUAAGUCCAGUAGAAAAUCCCUUACCUCACUUUUAUGCAAGUUCUUCAAUCUACUAAAUCCAAUGAAUCAAAUCCUAAACAUAAUCAAUCAUAAAAUCAACAUCUUUCUAAAUAGUUUCAACCAUUCAAAUUACCCCAUAUGUAAAUUCCACAACUUACCCAAGAAGUGGAAAAUCAAGUCCACUUCAACCUUUUGGAAAAUCAAGGAUUCGCUCACUGAAUCAAGAUGUACCUUCAAGAAUUAAGCAUUUCGCCAACAAUUAAAUCCAAUGGCAGCAUCCAACAAAAACCAAGAAACCAACAAAAACCAUAACUUGUUCUUACCCAAAUAUGAGCCCAAUGGUUCACGGCGAGGCAGAUCUGGACGACGAUUUGCUUUGCGAGGGAGGCACGACGGUUGUGAGCGAGAGGCACGACGGUUACAGGCGGAUGGGCGCGACGGUUUAGAUCUGAAGAAGAAAAGAGAGGGUGGCGGUUGGGUUCGGCGAGCGGCGGCGGUUUUGCUUCGCGAACGGAGAUGGAGACGGCAAUUCGGCGCGCGGGACGACUGCAACGCAAAUCUGGACUGGCAGCGGCACGGUCUUGCUUCGCGGCUGGGUAUGGUGAAAAAGAAAGAGAAACGGAAGAAGAGAAGUCUCGGGUGGCGGUUGCUGGGCUACGGCGGUUGCUGGGCUGCGGCGGAAGGAGAAAAUGGAAGGAAGAGAUCGGCGGAAAGAAGGAGAAGAUGGAUGGGAGUCACGAUCGCACGGGAAGAAGAAGGGAGAAAAGAAAAGAAAAGAAAAGAAGAAAAGAAAAAUAAUAAAGAAAUUUUUAAUAUAAAGUAAAAUAAAAAUAUAUAUAUAUAUAUAUAUAUAUAUAUUACCUUUUUGGGCAUUACAUUCUUCCCUCCUUAAGAAACUUUCGUCCUCGAAAGUUCUAAUCCUGAAAUAACUCUGGAUAACGAGUCCUCAUUUCUUCCUCUCGCUCCCAUGUCGCCUCUUCAAUUCGAUGAUUCCGCCACAAAACCUUUACUAAUGGAAUGCUUCUAUUACGAAGCAUCUUUACCUCUCUAGCCAAAAUCUCCACAGGUUGUUCAACAUAGCUCAAAUGCUCGUCAAUCUCCAAGGUUCAUAGUCCACUACAUGAGAUGUAUCGGCCACAUACUUCCUCAACAUCGAAACAUGGAAAACAUUAUGAACUGCAGAGAGAGAUGGUGGUAAUGCCAAGCGAUACGCCACAACACCAACCCUCUCUAAGAUCUCAAAUGGUCCAACAAAACGAGGACUUAACUUUCCCUUCUCAAAACGCAUAACACCCUUCAUAGGUGCUACCUUCAAGAAUACCUUUUCUCCCACAUCGAACUUAAGGUCUUUUCGCCGUACAUCUGCAUAACUCUUCUGUCUACUCUGCGCUGUUUGCAUACGCGUCCUAAUCGUUUGAAUAGCCUCAUUAGUAGACCGAACUAAUUCAGGUCCCAUCAAUCUAUGUUCACCAACCUCACUCCAACAAACAGGGGUUCUACAACAUUUGCCAUACAAAGCCUCAAAUGGUGCCAUACCGAUGGUAGCCUGGAAACUGUUGUUAUAAGCAAACUCCAUCAAAUGUAGAUGAGAGUCCCAACUACCUGGAAACUCUAUAACACAAGCUCGUAGCAUAUCCUCUAAAACUUGGUUCAAACGUUCAGUUUGACCAUCAGUCUGUGGAUGAAAGGCUGUACUGAAAUCCAAUCUCGUACCCAUAGCAGUCUGAAGUCCCUUCCAAAACUUGGAAGUAAACCGUGCAUCCCUAUCAGAAACAAUCGAUACAGGCACUCCAUGCAGUCUCACAAUCUCAGUUAAAUACAACUCUGCCCACUUACUAGCAGUAUAAGUGGAUUUUCCUGGUACAAAAUGUGCCGAUUUCGUAAGCCUGUCUAUGACAACCAGAAUCACUGUGAAACCCUUCAGGGUCUUAGGCAGCCCUGAAAUAAAAUCCAUCGACACAUUCUCCCACUUCCACUCUGGCACACUUAAGGUUGUAAUAAACCUGCUGGUUUCUGUCUAGGUGCCUUAACUUGCUGACAUACUAGACACUUACUAACAAAUUCCGCCACUUCCCUUUUCAUAUUCCGCCACCAAUAAAAUCGUUUUAGAUCCUGAUACAUUUUCGUGCUACCAGGAUGCAUGGAAAAUGGGGAAUUAUGGGCUUCAUCUAGUAAGUCAAUCUUAACUGUACUGUUCGCUGGCACACAUAAACGUCUCUCAAACAUCAACCCACCAUCAGAGGAUAUGGAGAACUCAUCAGUCUGCCCUGUUUCAACAAGGCGACGUCUCUCCAUCAAAUAAGGAUCAUUACUCUGAGCAUCAACAAUCUUGUGCCUCAGAGUCGGUUGCACCGUUAAUUGAGCUAGCUGUGAGGUGACUCUCCCCACAGACACUGCAAUCUCAGCUCUCUCCAAGUCUCGAUGCAAUGGUACCUGUCUAGUAAUGAGUGCUGCCGAAUGUGAUACUUUUCUACUAAGAGCAUCAGCCACCACAUUCGCCUUACCAGGAUGGUAUAAUAUCUCACAGUCAUAAUCUUUUACCAACUCGAGCCACCUUCGCUGUCUCAUAUUCAACUCCUUCUGAGUGAAGAAGUACUUUAGGCUCUUAUGGUCAGUAAAGAUUUGUAUCUUUUCACCGUACAAGUAAUGUCUCCAUAUCUUCAAUGCAAAAACCACUGCUGCCAACUCCAAAUCAUGUGUGGGGUAGUUCUGCUCGUGACUCUUCAACUGACGAGAGGCAUAAGCAACCACCUUACCUUUCUGCAUCAAAACACAACCCAGUCCUUUCUUGGAAGCAUCACUGUAAAUCACAAAACUUCCAGAUCCAUCUGGUACAGUAAGGACCGGUGCAGUAACUAACCUUUGCUUUAAGUUCUGAAAACUAUCCUCACAAGCUGGACUCCAAACAAACGGAGUUCCCUUCCUUGUCAACUGAGUCAAAGGAGUAGCCAAACGUGAAAAAUCCUCCACAAACCUCCGGUAAUACCCUGCUAAACCCAGAAAACUACGAACCUCACUAACUGUGAGGGUCGAGACCAACUGGUAACCGCUUCUAUCUUUGCAGGGUCUACUGAAACUCCCUCACUGGAAACCACAUGACCAAGAAAAGCCACCUGCUUCAACCAAAAUUCGCACUUAGAACUUAGCAUACAGUUUAUUGACUCGAAGAGUCUCUAACACCUUAUGUAAGUGUUCCUCAUGUUCGGCUUCAGUCUUGGAAUAAACCAAAAUAUCAUCAAUGAAGACUAUCACAAAAGUGUCCAAGAAAUCCUUAAACACCCUGUUCAUCAAAUCCAUAAAUACAGCAGGUGCAUUAGUCAAACCAAAAGACAUUACUAUGAAUUCAUAAUGUCCAUACCUCGAACGAAAAGCAGUCUUAGGAAUAUCACGGUCUCUAAUCCUCAACUGGUGAUAACCUGACCGUAAGUCAAUCUUAGAGAACACCGUGGCUCCCUGUAACUGAUCGAACAAAUCAUCGAUUCUGGGUAAAGGAUACCUGUUCUUGACUGUUACUUUAUUCAACUCUCUAUAGUCAAUGCAAAGACGCAUCGACCCAUCCUUCUUCUUCACAAACAAUACUGGUGCACCCCAAGGUGACACACUAGGUCGAAUAAAGCCUUUGUCAAGCAAUUCCUGUAACUGUACCUUCAGUUCUUUCAACUCAGCAGGAGCCAUCCUAUAAGGGGCUCUAGAAAUAGGAGUAGUGUUUGGCUCCAACUCAAUGGCAAAAUCAAUCUCUAUGUGGCGCAGUCCUGGAAGAUCUUUUGGAAAUACAUCUGGGUAUUCUCUUACCACAGGUUCUGAAGUUAAAGAAGUCUCACCUUCCCUAGUAUCCACCACACUUGCCAAAAUACUCCAAGUACCCUGGCUGAGUAGUUUACUAGCUUUCAUAGCUGAGAUUACUUUAGGCAGUACUACUGUUCCUACUCCCUUGAAUUUAAAGCUAGAUGCAGUAGGGGGACUAAACACAACUUCCUUACGAGAACAAUCAAUACUAGCAUGAUUAGUAGCUAGCCAAUCCAUACCUAAAAUUACAUCAAAGUCACGCAUAUCUAAUACCAACAAGGUUACGUCCAGCACACGACCAGCUAUCUCAAUUUCACAUGCUUUAAUCUUUUCCUUAGACAACAUAAUUUCUCCAGACGGUGUAGACACUGACAAAACAUAGUCUAAGGGUUCCACCUCUAAGCAUGCAUGCGUCACAAAAAGCGAUGAAAUAAAUGAAUGAGAAGAUCCCGAGUCAAACAAGGUCAAGGCAAAAUGCCCUAAUACUGGUAAUGUACCUGUCACUACUGUGCCGGCCUUCUCUGCCUCUGAUCUAUUAGUGGCAAAGAUUGUACCCCGCUGUGGAGGUCUCUCUCCCUGACUGCUCGAUCCAGCCCCAGUAGAUCUCAAGGGACACCUAUCAGCCAUGUGUCCCUCUUGCUUGCACUUAUAACAGACUCUCGUUCCCAUCAAACAACGACCCAGGUGGCGUUUCCCACACGUAUUACAUACUGGCCUCUCUUGAGUAGUGUCUCCUGCACCGCCAGAACUCUGCUGGAAACUGCGAAAAGAAUCACCUGGUCUCAUGUUCCUCUGAGGAACUCCUACAGUUCUCUGCUCUACUUUUCUCUUUUGACCGACGACGAUCCCUUAUUAAAGCUCCUUGGCUGUCUUUCAUCCUUCCCAAUACUCAUAUCCACUGCCAGACGCAGUGCUUCAGCUUGGGUAGUGGGCUUUAGUGCUCGCACAAAACCCCUAAUUUCAUCUCUCAAUCCCUUGACGAACCUAUCAGCUCUAGCCUGCUCAUUACUAACAAGCUCAGGGGCAAAACGUGACAGCAUAUCAAACUCCUGGUCGUACUCCUCGACUGUCAUAUAUCCUUGCUUCAACUCCAAGAAUUCCUGGCUUUUGGCGUCUCUAAGGUUAGCCGAGAAAAACUUGGUAUAGAAGCAGUUCUUAAACUGAUCCCAGGUAAUUUGCCUCACAUCUCCACCUAGCAUGCGCAUUGUAGUCCUCCACCAGAUAAUGCCUCUGUCCCUCAGUAGAAAAGCAGCACACUGAACUCUGUGCUCCUCGGACAUCUCAUGUAAUUAAAUAUGGUUUCCACAGAGGACAACCACAUUUCAGCUUUAGUAGGAUCCUCCAGUGACCCAUCAAACGUCUGAGGGUCAUACUUCCGAAAGUCCCUCAAAUGUUUCGCCUCAGCAGAAAGUUGGUUAGGUAAUUCUUGUGCAGGAGGGGCUGCUGGUGCAGGGGAACUACAGGUGCAGGUGGAACCAGGUGCCUGCUGGUUUUGAGCUAUAGCUGUCAUAAGUUCUGUAAACCUCUGCUCCAUGUGAGCAGACAGUGCAUCAAACUCAACGUGAGUCACGGGUGCAGCAGGAAUUCGCUGUUCAGCUUGACCCUCAGUAGGCUGAUUACGACCUGCUCCUCUACCUCGGCCUCCUGCUCUCUACGACCUCCUCUACGUACUUCUUCCCUUGGCGGCAUAAUUCCUAUUACCACCAACAACACUCUUUAACAAAAUCUUAAUCAUAAACAUAAGCAAGUCUUUAUCGUCAUGCAAUCUAGUUUAAUUUAGGCAAGGUCAUGCAAAUAAACCAUACAUAUAAGCAUCAAGCAUACCUGACGAGAGACGAAGGGUCGCGUUAGCCAUAGGAACACAAAAACAUAGACUUACAUCGUAAGUCAGUCUACAGAACCUAAAACUUAGGCUCUGAUACCAACUGUAACGACCCAACUUUUCUAGGUAAGUCGAGGUCAUUAAUUUUUAAUAAAAGACUUUAUUGAUACAAAAUGAAACGUAAGUCAAUUUAAAACAAUCUAUGUCAGGCCUGAUUUUCAAAUAUUCAAGAAAACUUAAAAAUAACACUAUUUACAAAUAAAAGUUUGUAAACUAAGUUUUAGUACAUCUUAAACCUUAAAAGAAACCAUAAGCGGAAGCAAAAUGACACAGUUCCUAUGGAAUCACGCUUCCUUCCUCCCCCUCGCCGGUUUGCCACCUUUAUUUCCUUUGCCUGAAAAUUAAACAUAAGAAGGGUGAGUAUAACAAUACUCAGUAAGAGACCCUUACUGUCUCCGUCAGGGAAAAAUAAUUGUUAAAGUUCUAUUGGGACACCCUGUACAGUCGCAGUCUUGUGAUCGCGUAGGAUACACAUUUCAGUCUAACGCCCCGAAGGACGUACAUAUCAGUCUAACGCCCCGAGGGACGUACAUAUCAGUCUAACGCCCCGAGGACGUACAUAUCAGUCUAACGCCCGAGGGACGUUCAUAUCAGUCUAGUGUUCUGCAGAAACACAUAUCAGUCAAAUGCUCCCGAAGGUGCAAAAUAAAUUGGUGAUCCUGGGACACCUACAAGGUAAACAUCCCAAUACACAACCUAACAAUUUAUCCCUCAUUCCAUUCAACCCAUCUUUCAGUUACUUCAAAUCACAAAGUCCUUUCUUCAACAUCCUAACAGUCAACUUAUUUUACUACAAUCAUAUGUCUGUCAAUAAUAUGCUAAUACAUCAGUCAAUUCACUAUACAGUCAAGUCAAUACACCCCUCAGUUCACCAGCACAAACCACAGUUCAGUAUAAUCCACAUCCACACCGAACAAAUUCACUAGUUCACAUCCAAUCUUUAUACAGCACAAUCUAUUAAUAUCAUCAUGUACACUAAGCAUAAUUUCAGUCAUUCACAUGUAUACUUUCGCAAUCCACAUCAAUUCACACAUCAAUGUAUAUAUAUAUGUUUCCAGUCAAAUACAACAUACACUAAACAUUUAGUCUGCAAUCAAACAUGUACAUCUUAAUCAUCAUCCAUACAGUCCAACACAACUCAAAAACUUUAGGUGAGUCCAGUAGAAAAUCCCUUACCUCACUUUUAUGCAGUUCUUCAAUCUACUAAAUCCAAUGAAUCAAAUCCUAACAUAAUCAAUCAUAAAAUCAACAUCUUCUAAAUAGUUUCAACCAUUCAAAUUACCCCAUAUGUAAAUUCACAACUUACCCAAGAAGUGAGAGAAUCAAGUCCACUUCAACCUUUUGGAAAAUCAAGGAUUCGCUCACUGAAUCAAGAUGUACCUUCAAGAAUUAAGCAUUUCGCCAACAAUUAAAUCCAAUGGCAGCAUCCAACAAAAACCAAGAAACCAACAAAAACCAUAACUUGUUCUUACCCAAAUAUGAGCCCAAUGGUUCACGACGAGGCAGAUCUGGACGACGAUUUGCUUUCCGAGGAGGCACGACGGUUGUGAGCGAAGAGGCACGGCAGUUACAGGCAGAUGGCGCGCGACGGUUUAGAUCUGAAGAAGAAAGAGAGGGUGGCAGUUGGGUUCGGCGAGCGGCGGCGGUUUUGCUUCGCGAACGGAGAUGGAGACGGCAGUUCGGCGCGCGGGACGAUGCAACGCAAAUCUGGACUGGCAGCGGCACGGUCUUGCUUCGCGGCUGGGUAUGGUGAAAAAGAAAGAGAAACGGAAGAAGAGAAGUCUCGGUGCGGUUGCUGGGCUACGGGCGGUUGCUGGGCUGCGGCGGAAGGAGAAAAUGGAAGGAAGAGAUCGGCGGAAAGAAGGAGAAGAUGGAUGGAGUCAGAUCGCACGGGGAAGAAGAAGGGAGAAAGAAAAGAAAAAGAAAAAGAAGAAAAAAAAAUAAUAAAGAAAUUUUAAUACUAAAGUAAAAUAAAAAUAUAUAUAUAUAAUAUAUAAUAUAUAUAUAUAUAUUUACCUUUCUUUGGGCAUUACAUUUUUUUUUUAAUUUUAGCAAAUAACAUUUUUUGCACGUGCAUAAUAUUUAUAAAAUACCAAAAUAUCCACAUUCUCCAACUAAAAUUAUUUUGUUUCUAUGUUGUAAUUAAUUUAUAUUAUGCAUUUAUCAACUUUUAAUUAUUUUUUACCUGAAAAAAGAUACAUAAACUCAUAUAUAUACUUUUUUCUUAAUAUCUCGGGACUCAACUAAUGGAUUCAAGACUUUAACUUUAUUUAAUCUUACUAAUUUCAAAAUAACCUAAUUGAAUUUGAAUUUCAAAAUAACCAAAUUGAAUUUCAACAUAACAAAAUUAUUAUUUUUCAAAUUUGAUAAUCUCAGAAAUAGAUUUUGUAUCAAAAUAACUUUAAUUGAAUUUCAAAAUUAAAAAAUAUCAACUUAUUCACUCUUUAUCUCACAAUAAUAUUAAUGGCUUGAAUAUCAAGAUAAUUAAAUUAUUGUUUUUAAAAUUGGGAGAAACUCAACAUUAAAAAAUAUCAACUUAUUCACACACAAUCACACGCGCACACACAUACAUACACUUGCACGCACGUGCACCCAUACACGCACACACACACGCGUGCACACACACACACACACACAAACGCACACAUGCACACGCACACCAAACCGCACGCACACAAAUACACACACACACGCACACUAAUGGUUCAAUUUCAUCGAUUGUUCCUAUUUUUCUGACAGUUUAUUUUUGCCAUCGAUAGAGGAUCUUCCGACAGACCUGCGUGACGGUGUGUGUUGACAGCUUAAUUUCGUUGGCAAAAGAAAAGUCGAUUAGUUUUUGAAGAUUUACUGACGAUAUUUGUCAUCGACAAAGGGUAAAUUUCUUGUAGUGCAUGUACAUCAAACAUAUCAAAUUUGUUAAGUGUACCAAUGAAGUAUAAGAAGUUUAUUAGUGGUGUAUCAAGCGUAUCAAACUUAUAAGUGAAGUCUUUAAGUGUAUCAAACUAAUCAAGUGUAUCAAGGUCUCAGGGUAUCAAGUGUAUCAAGAAGAAUCAAGUGUAACGAGAAGUAUUAUGUGGAACGAGAAGUAUUAUGUGUAUGAAGAUGUUUCAGGUGUGUAUCAAAAAGUAUCGAGUGUAUCAAUGAGUACCGAGUGCAUGAAUUGUAUCUAUCAAAUGUAUCAAGUGUAUCAGUAAGAAAUAUCAAGUGUAUCAAGCGGUAUUAGGUGUAUCAGACGUGUAUAAGGUGUAUCAAAUGUACAUCAAUAACGAGGGCAUUUGUGACAUUUUACCUCUUGAUGUGUGAGUUGGUCUUUGUUUUUGUCAUUUUCUCAAAUAAUAAAGUAUGUGUUCUAUGAACUUAAUUAUUAUAACUUACACUACUACAAAAACAGGCUCUCUUGACGUUUGCAGUUUUCCUUUCUUGACGUUUUUUUCAAAAAACGUCAAGAAAGAUUUCAUUUUUAAUAAAAAACGUCAAGAAAUUUUUUGAAACAUCAUUCUUGACGUUUAUUAAAUGUCAAGUAAAAUAAAUUUUUCUUUGACGUUUUUAAAACAUCAAGAAAUAUCUAUUAAUUUUUUGACGUUUUAAAACGUCAAGAAGCGUAUGAAUUCGACAUGCUUGACGUUUCUUAAACGUCAAGAAUUUAAAAUUUUACUCGACGUUUUAAAAACGUCAAGAAAUUCAUAAAAUAUUCAAGAAUAUUUUUUAAAUUACACUGAGAAGGUAUCGAAUUUUAAUUUUCAGCUCUAACAUUUUUCCUAAUCUACUUUUUUCUUCUUCACGACUGAGUAUUCGAGGGAGUCAUUUUUUGAAUUUGUUGACAUUUUUUAAACGUUAAGUAAGAUCAUUUUUUUUUUUACAUUUUAAAAAUGUCAAGUGUUAUUAAAUAAAUAUAAAAAAUAUAUUGGGCUAAUUUUAUUUCUUUAAAAUCUCUUUAAAUAUAUAGAUACAAUAAUAAAAAUCUCUUUAAAUAUAUAGAUACAACAAUAAAAAUUUCUUUAAAUAUAUAUAGAAAAAAAAUAUUGUACUAAUAUUAUUCAGAAUCACUUUAAAUAUAUAUAGAAAAAAUUAUUGUGCAAAUAUUAUUUUUUAAAAAGCCCUAGCCCCUUUCUACUCAAAACACGCGUGUUCCCCUUUCCCUCUCCAGCCGAAAUCCUUCCCAUUCGAAAAAAGUGUGUUCAGCAGUCGUCGUUCGCUUUCAACGCCUAUCCGUUCGCCUUCAACGUCUGUCCGUUCGAUUUCACCGUCGAGUUCCACCUCUUCGAAUCCCUCACGUCCGUCGUUUCAAAGUCCUUCGUCCGCUGCAUUCCAUCUUUCCAAAAUCCCUCAGUGCCUCACGCUACUGCGUGCCCGUCAUUUCGACUUCACCAACGAGUGCCUCACGUUCGUUGCUUCAAAAUCCAUCAUCCACUAAGUUGAGGUUAGGCUUUUAUUUCCCUAAAACAUAUAACAAUUUCAUUAUUCUUCAUUAUAUAAACUCAGAUGGCAUGAUUGGCAAUAAUAGAUAGGAAGGAUGGAGGUGUAAACUUCGAAUUGAUUGAAAUUCGUAUACUUUUAUUCAAUCUUUAAAGUACUGUAGUUUUUCUUCACCAUCAAAUUUUAUUAGGAUUUAAAGAAAACAAAUGAAUGUAUGAACAAAUUUUUGGGAGUGCAUGUCAUAUAAUCAACUUCCCUCUUUCAGUAAUUUUGAAGAUCUCAUAUAACAAUACUACUAAUUGAGAGCUUUGGAGGAUGAGUCAAUUCUUCUCCCUUCGUGAAAAGAAAAAGAAAAAAAGAUCAUGUAUUCUCUUUGUUUGUUACCUUAUGUUGUCCAAGGUUUUGCCUUCUUCCUUAAUAAUUUGGAGGUGUUUUAACUAAUUUUUUCAUUCACCCUCUUUUUGCCAUAGUUGCUUUUGUGUGCAGCUUGAGAUUUUUAAUUCAAUUGUGUGUUUUUACUUUUUUCUAUUGGGUGAAUUCUGUUUUGACUUUUUUUAAGCUAAAUAUAAUUAAUUGUUUCCUAUGGAACCAUAACCUUGAUCUUGGUUAUAGAUUUCAUUUUAAGGUAAAAGUAAAACACUCUUAUUUGAAUGAUUAUGUUGUAUUAUCCAUUGAAAGACUUGGUGUUGUAAUUGCCUUGUCUUCCUCAGGUAUUCUGUUGUAUGGUUGAUUACGAUCUUCAUGAUUGGAAUCUUUGUUUAGUGAAGCUCAUUUUGUUUGAUUUACUCAGUCGUGCAAUUGCUUUCUUUUUUAUGAUCACUUUAAAAAAGAAAUGAGUUUAGUUAGUUCUUUUAAUUUUCUUAAGUUUCAUUUGUAAUGCAUGAAAAUCUCUUAGCAGUAGAAACUGAAGACCAUAAUUGUAGAAGAUUUGUAUAGAUUGGAUUCACAUUCUCAACAUUGGUUAUACAGGCAUUACUUAUCAUUGUCCUUCCACUUUAAUUAUCAAUAGUGACAAUAACUUUAUUUCUCAUUAGAUUUACAAUGAUGGAUAAAUCUUGGAUGCACAAGAGUAGAUUGUCUAAAGAUUAUGAGUUGGGUGUGGAAAACUUCAUCAAAUUUGGAUUUUCUAAUACAACUAGCUCCUAUAUUCGUUGUCCUUGUUUGAAAUGUGGGAAUUGUGAAAAACAUAGUAGAAAGGGUGUUAGAGAUCACUUGUAUGUUAAUGGUAUUGAUGAAAGUUAUAAAUUUUGGUUUUGGCAUGGGGAAGAACUUCCUAACUCAUCCUUCUAUGAUGAAUCUUCAAAGUUUGACACCCAUACAUGUGAAGAUCAGGAUGUUGGAAGUGUAAAAGAAAUGAUUGAAGUUGCUCAUGAGGAGUAUUCAAAAGACCCAACUGGAUUUGAGAAGUUGCUUAUUGAUGCUGAAAAACCAUUGUACGAAGGAUGCAAAAAGUACACAAAGUUGUCUACUCUAGUCAAAUUGUAUAAUUUAAAAGUUAGGUAUGGAUAGAGUGAUACUAGUUUUUCAGAAUUACUUGAAACUUUGAAGGAAAUUCUGCCUAAUACCAAUGAGCUCCCGAAUUCAUUGUAUGAAGCAAAGAAAACAUUAGGUGCAUUAGGAAUGGAAUAUGAAAAGAUUCAUGCAUGCCCGAAUAAUUUUGUCUCUAUAGAAAAGAAUUUGCUAAUGCAAUUGAAUGUCAUGAAUGUUGUCAAUCAAGGUGGAAAAACGUCAAGGAUACAAAUGAAAGGAGAAAGCAAAUUCCCUCUAAAGUGAUAUGGUACUUUCCAAUCAUUCCACGAUUUAAAAGGCUAUUCAGAAGCAUUGAAUGUGCUGAAAACUUGACUUGGCAUUCUACUGAAAGAAUUAAUGAUGGUAAGUUACGACAUCCAGCCAGACUCUCCAGCAUGGAAGUUAGUAGACAUGAAAUGGCAAGACUUUGGUUCUGAACCCAUAAAUCUUCGUUUAGCAUUGUCAGCCGAUGGAGUAAAUCCUCAUGGUGACAUGAGUUCUAAAUACAGUUGUUGGCCGGUAGUGAUGGUUAUUUACAAUCUUCCACCAUGGUUGUGUAUGAAAAGAAAGUACAUGAUGCUAUCAAUGCUAAUUUCAGGACCAAAACAACCAGGGGAUGACAUAGGCAUAUACUUAGCACCACUAAUUGAAGAUUUAAAACUUUUAUGGGAAAGUGGUGUUGAAUGUUAUGAUGCUUAUCGAGAAGAACCAUUCAACUUAAGGUCAGUUUUGUUGUGGACAAUCAAUGAUUUUCCUGCAUAUGGUAACCUUAGUGGAUGUUGUGUGAAAGGGUAUAAAGCAUGCCCAAUUUGUGGAGAUAAUACAAAUUCUAUAAGGUUAAAGUAUGGGAAGAAAAUGGCAUACCUUGGACAUCGUAGAUUUUUGGCACGAAAUCAUCUGUAUCGACGACAAAAGAAGUCAUUCAAUGGUAAAAAAGAACUUGAUACAAUUCCAGAGCCACUUUAUGGGGAGGAUGUGUAUUUAAAAUUGAAAGAUCUUGAAUUUUCUAGAGGGAAGAAGAACCAUAAGAAACGGUUGAUGAACAGAAGUGACAAAAUUUGUUGGAAUAGAUUAUCUUCUUUUUUUGAGUUGCCAUACUGGAAGGAUCUUCAUGUUAGACAUUGUUUAGAUGUGAUGCACAUUGAAAAAAAUGUUUGCAUGAAUAUCUUAGGUACAUUUCUUGAUAUUCCUGGAAAAAGUAAGGAUGGAUUGAAUGCUAGACGCGAUUUAGUUGAUCUAAAACUUCGACCAGAGCUUGCCCCUAUCAGAAUAUGUUACUCCUACUAAUUACUUUCAUUAUGUAAAAAAGACAUCUAAACGUGAGGAUGAGAUUAUACUUGAGAAUAAAGAACUUCGAAGGCGUGUAAGCGAAUUAGAAGCACAUAACCACUCAAACUUGUCUAGACCAUUAUCUGGACAUGGUAGCUGUUCGAAGCCAAAUAUCUUAGAAGAGAGUGACUCGAUGAAAAUAAUCAAAGGGAAGAGUAAGUUGAUGGAUAAAAUCGAAGGGAAAGAGGUGGAGGAGAUCAAUGUAAAUGACGACAAAGUAGAGUUGGACAUCUUUAAGGUAUGUGAUCGAUCCUCUAAUAAACUCAAAUUCUUAAUAUUCAUAUCAUAUUGAAAGUGAAUGUUUUUCUUGAAUUAGGAGAGAGCCUUAAUAAAAAUGACUAAGGAAAAAGAGGUUGUCUGUGAAUCGACGUCAGUUUUGCCAAUGGGAAUGAAGUUGAUUCUCAUAUACGUUGAGAAGAUAAUGGAGAAAGAUUCUAGUAUCACUAUUCCACUACUGUUGGCAUUUUUGGUAUUAGUCGAAAGACUUCUGUUCUCCGAGAGGACAUCAUUGAUCUUUGUAACAUGAAUGAGGUCAAAACAUUUACAUUGGUGGCCUAUAUGACGUAAGUAUCAAUUUCAUUUCUUUAGAUCUAAAUUUAUGUAUCUCGUUUACAAGUUUAUAAUAUUUUGUAGGUACUUGUAUUCAUCUGUUCUUGGUUCGAAGGAAACUAUACAGUAUGUCUUUGUAGAUCCAUCCCUCACCUCUGUCGGACACUCGCAAGAAUCUCGAGUUCGACACUUAUGCAGUAGAUUGAUGGUCUCAAAGAUUAACGAAAUAGUUCUUGCUCCUUUUAAUCCUGGGUAAGUCAAGUUAUUUUAUUACUUGCAUUGCAAAAAACUAGUACUAAUAUUUUGUAUAAUUAGGGGUCAUUGGGCACUGCUGGCCAUAAAUGCAUAUGAUGAUAUAGUAUUUUACCUCGACUCACUAAGGACAACAUCGAAGUCAACUAUAAGAUACGUCACCGACACGUAAGUUAAUCUAGUAUUUCAUUUAGUGUUGAUUCUUAUAUGCAUGUACACAAUAUUUAAACUAUUUGUUCAAUCUUAUCUUGUCAAAACAGAGCAAUAGCGAUGUUUCAGUCACAAAAGAACAUUAAAAAAAGUAGAAAACAAACUUUAUGGCUAACAGUAAAGGUAAGUAUCAACUUUUAAAGUCAUUAAAUUUUUGUAGACUACUAGCAAUUAGGAUUACUUUGUUAUUCAAAUUUGUUGCUUUUAUAUAGUGUCCACUGCAAGGAAGUAUUGAGUGUGGAUACUAUGUGAUGAGGUAUAUGAGAGAAAUUGUGACUAGGGGAAGCAUUGUCAUAUCCGAUGCGGUAUGUUAUAUAUCAAACUAUUGGUUUUGUGAGUUAAUUGGUUUAUUUGUAUAGUCAGUUAAUUCAUUUAAUUUAUUUUGUAUGUUUAUUGAUUGAUACACGAAGAUCAUACUCACAGGCAGAACUACACGAGGUGCGAGUUGAGUUAGCUGACUUUUUGGGUUCUUACAUAUGAUUAUGACCAAUAUUUUGUGAUUCUGAAGUAGGAAAUUUUUUGUUGUGUCGCUUCUUUAUGACCCUAAACUUUAUGUAUAGAAACUUUAGCCGAUAAUUCUUUUGAAUUGUUCAUAUGGAGGAAGGGGGGAGGGGGGUUCAUUCGUAUAUAUUUUUAUUAUUGUUAUAGCUAGCAUGUUUUGUGACUUUUUAAGUUGAUUUGGAUUCAUGGCAAUGUAAUGCCAUAUGAAAUCUAAUGUAAAGCCUAUUUCAUUAUGUAUAUGUAAAGUCUUGGAAUUGAAUAUAUAUGGUGAAUGGUUUUAUUUAUAUAUGUUUGAGAUUUGAAACUAUAUUUGAUGAAUAUCAAAUAUCUAUGAAACUGUUGUGGACAAUUACAGGAUAAUUACAGGACAAUCAGAAUAUAUUUCUUUCCAUUACAGCAUAAUUCAAUUACAAUUUCUUUUUUUAAAAAAAAUUAAAAAAUGCUUGACGGUUUUAAAAUGUCACGAACAAUUGCAAGCUUGACGGUUUUAAACUGUCAUGAACAAUUGCAUUUUUACGGUUGACAAAUGUCAAAACAAUUACAUUCUUGACAGUUUUAAAAUGUCAUGAAUAGUAAAAUUCUUGACGGGUUUAAAAUGUCAUAAACCAGUUCAUCCUUGACGGCUUUAAAAUGUCAUAAACAAUACCAGUCCUGACGGUUCUAAAACGUCAUGAACAUAAGUAUAUUUGACGUUUAUAAAACGUCAACGUUCACUAUUCUUGACGUUUAAUCAACCGUCAAGAACUUUGCCUUUCUUGACGCUGGCUUCAACGACGUUUUUAAAACCGUCAAGAGAGCCGUCUCUUGAAGUUUAAAAACGUCAAGAGAGCCUGUUUUUGUAGUAGUGUUAUUUUGCCAUUUUCGCAAGUGUCCCUUAAUUGUAAUACAUGUAUAUGUGACAUAAUCUAAUCAAACUAACCAUAAAUGGACUUAAUGUAUCAGGUAUUAGGUGUAUCAGACGUGUAUAAGGUGUAUCAAAUGUACAUCAAUAACGAGGGCAUUUGUGACAUUUUACCUCUUGAUGUGUGAGCUGGUCUUUGUUUUUGUCACUUUCUCAAAUAAUAAAGUAUGUGUUCUAUGGACUUAAUUAUUAUAACUUAUUUUGCCAUUUUCGCAAGUGUCCCUUAAUUGUAAUACAUGUAUAUGUGACAUAAUCUAAUCAAACUAACUCAUAAAUGGACUUAAUCGAUCUCAUGGACCACGAAUUCUUCAAUUACUUGCAAAUUUGGUGAGUUCCUUCAAACAGUGGGCGAAGAGCUUAAUUUUGAGAGAGAGGAAAAGUCGUGAAGAGUAUAUGCGAGAGAGGGGGAACGUGCCAGAGAGCAUUUGCGAGAGAGCUAAAGACAGCGACGAUGUGGGAUGAAGUAAGGUUUUUUUCGGUCGUUGUUCACAGUGGGAUGAAAGCUUCGAAUUAUUUGUUUUAAAUCAAAAGGCGUAAUGAUUGAAGGAAAACAUUUAUUUUUUAUUAGGGUAAUUUUUAAUGACACAUAAUUUAUGUCAUUAAUUAACAAUGCGAAAAUUUUGUCAAGAAAACUCAAUUUGUGUCACGAAAAAUUUUGUAUUUUUAUUUUUAACGACACAUUUUAUUCCCUCAUGUCCCUUUUUCUUGAUUUCAAGUGUCAUUAAAACUUAUUGUUGAAUAAGAAAUUUUGAGACCAAUCACAAGUUGCCACAUCAUUUAUUAAGUUAAUGAUGAAAAGUACAAAUAAUUAAAUUUGGGACUAAUUAAAAUUGACAUAUGCUCCAAAUUAAAGAGUUGAAAAUAAAUAAAAUGGUCAUUCUAAUAAUGCCACAUGUUUUCAUAUUAAUAGUUGGAUUAAGUUAAUCAUUUUAGUUCAAUUAAAUAUUAUUUACUUGGACUAAGUUCAAUUAAGCCCAAAAAAUAAGCUUAAUUGAGCCCAAAGACUAAAUAUAACCUAAGUCCAUAUGGUUGAGCCCAUGCGUCUGGUCCAUGGACCAACUAGGUUCAAACCCAUAAAGCCCACCAGUGAACUCUAUAAAUAGAGGAAUUCUCCUCAUUUGUAGGGGUUGGAAAAUAUUGACUCUAGAAGAUCCAGAGAGAAUUCUUCAAAGAGCUAGAAGACUCCCUAACUCCUGAAGUUGACCAUCCUCGAAGAUUGAAGCUUCUUUAAAGAUACAAGCUUUCUUCCAAGGCUUCAACUUCAAGAACAUCACGUGCUUCGCUUCCUCCAAAUCAAGCUGAAGCAUCCAGUUGAGAGAGAAUCAGAGGAUCAAAUUCUAGAGAUUGAACCGCAUCGCAUCAAAUCAACAAAAAUACAACAUCAACUCAAGUUCAAGUCCACGAAUUAAAUUUCUCCAGAAAUCUCGUGCGAACAAAUUGGCACGCCCAGUGGGACCAUCUCUACCUCUCAUCUCUCUCUCAUCAUCUAGAUCUACAAGCAAAUCAAUGGCAUCAAAGAAAGUUGCAUCCAAAUCUUCAGCUGCAAGCGACACCUACACGGGACCUAUCACCUGUAGUCGUUCCAAGGGGAUCAUCCAAGGGCAAGACCAAGGUUCCGCCAUCGCGCAGAGCAUCCUGAAGCAAUUAAUGGAAUCUCCUAAAGCUGGAAUUGUCAUCAAGGAAAAUCCUCUAUAUAAUGAUUAUGAUUCUGCCUCUAGCAGGUCACUGAAAGAAGCACACCCAGAUGUGAUGUCCGUCAUGAUGGCUGAUGUAGCAGUCGAGACUGCCAUGGCGGAGAUGGAGAGAAAAUUAAUCUCCUGAUGAAGGUUGUUGAUGAACGAGACCACGAAAUUACAGCUUUAAAGGAGCAGAUGCAGACUCGUGAAACUCUGAAUCGAGUCAAACUUGUCGUUAAAGUUGAUGACAAAGGGAAGAACGUGGUACAAGAAAAUCAGCCACAACAACAAUCAACUUCUGUGGCUUCUCUCUCGGUUCAACAAUACAAGAUAUGAUCACAAACUCCAUCAGAGCACAAUAUGGAGGCCCAUCUCAGACUUCUUUCAUGUACUCUAAACCAUACACCAAAAGAAUCGACAACUUGAGAAUGCCGCUUGGAUAUCAGCCUCCAAAAUUCCAGCAGUUUGACGGAAAGGCAAUCCAAAACAGCACGUUGCUCACUUCGUCGAAACAUGUGAGAAUGCAGGAUCAAGAGGAGAUCAACUAGUCAGACAAUUUGUUCGAAGCUUGAAAGGAAAUGCUUUUGAAUGGUAUACUGAUCUGGAGCCAGAAAGCAUUGAGAGUUGGGAACAACUAGAAAAGGAGUUUCUCAAUCGCUUCUACAGCACCAGGCGUACUGUAAGCAUGAUGGAGCUUACAAAUACGAAACAAAGAAAGGGAGAACCAGUCAUCGACUACAUCAAUAGAUGGAGAGCUCUAAGUCUUGACUGUAAAGAUCGGCUCACCGAACUGUCGGCUGUAGAAAUGUGCACCCAAGGCAUGCACUGGGGACUCCUCUACAUUUUGCAGGGAAUAAAGCCCCGCACAUUUGAAGAACUGGCAACUCGAGCUCAUGAUAUGGAGUUGAGCAUCGCCAGUAGAGGAACUAAAGAUUUUCUUGUUCCUGAAGUAAAGAAAGAUAAGAAAGAGAUGAAAGGUGCUGAAAAGAUAGUGAAAAGCACCGCGAAAGAAUCUAUGGUCGUAAACACAACCCCGCUGAAAUUCUCCAAAGGAAAGGAAGCGAGGGUUGAAAAGAAGGAUGAUGGAAGCGAAAGGCGACGUCUGACUUUAAAAGAAAGGCAGGAAAAAGUUUACCCAUUUCCUGAUUCAGAUAUCGCUGACAUGCUAGAGCAACUACUAGAGAAGCAGCUGAUCCAGCUGCCAGAAUGUAAACGACCUGAGCAAGCAGGAAAGGUAGAUGAUCCCAAUUACUGCAAGUAUCAUCGGGUCAUCAGUCAUCCAGUAGAGAAAUGCUUCGUGCUGAAGGAGCUAAUUCUAAGGUUGGCUCGUGAGAAAAGGAUUGAGCUAGAUUUGGAGGAAGUAGCUCAAACAAACCACGCUGAAGUGACGAUAAUGUCUGAGGCUUCUUCGUCGAGAUUGAUUUUUGAGCAAAGGAAAAGCUUGGUCCAGUUCGGGACCUUUGAGCCUAUAGUUGUCCAAUUCUUUCAGGAAAUCUCAUACGAGGAUCCUCAAGGAGAGAAAAGACCAAUCGAAGAAGACGAUGAAGGGUGGAUAGUGGUGACCCACCGAAAGAAAAGACAGUCGAUCCCGACCCAAAGAGAGUCUCGCUCUUACCAAAACUAUAGAAGAGGAAAUAAGACUCAAAAGAAUAAGAAAAAGAAGAAGACUCAUAAGCUUAAGCUCGUACAUAAUGAAGACAUGAAUUUCUCUCGACCUCAACGCUUAGUGACCUUGCAGACUUCCUUCCAAAAAGCUUCCUUUGUGAUCAUCAGGAUGAAGACCCAGAAGUCGUUGCGUGUCAUGCUAUCAACACAACGGAGGAAGAAAUAAUCCCUCCAAGAUCACUAGAAGGAGAGGGAGUAUCAAAAGACCUUUCAAGGUUUAAUGUAGAGGAUCUAUUAUCACUUCCUCAAGAGACCAAAACCAUCCUUAUUGAUGCAUUGCUAAAUUCAAGAGCAUCAAGUUCGAGUACUCCGACUAUGACAUAUGAGAGUGGUUCUUAUUGUAUGUCUAUAGACUUCUCAGAUGAGGAUUUGUUGUUGGGAUCUAAACUUCAUAAUAGACCUUUGUAUGUUUCUGGAUACGUUCGAGAACAGAGAGUCGAUCGAAUCCUCAUUGAUAAUGGCUCAGCUGUCAACAUAAUGCCAAAGUCGACUAUGUGGCAAUUAGGCAUCUUGAUGGACGAGCUCUCAAAUAGCAAGCUAGUAAUUCAAGGUUUUAACCAAGGUAGCCAAAGAGCAAUAGGCAUGAUACGGUUAGAACUCAUAAUUGGCGACCUAAAGGCCAGUGCAUUGUUUCAUGUCAUAGACUCAAGGACUACUUACAAGUUGUUACUAGGGCGUCCUUGGAUUCAUGGAAACGGAGUAGUAACUUCAACACUGCAUCAGUGCUUCAAAUUUUAUCAGGACGGUGUAAAGAAGGUUGAAGCCGACUCUAAUCCAUUCUCAGAAGCUGAGUCUCACUUCGCAGAUGCAAAGUUUUAUUCAAAGAAUAAUAAUAUUUUAGAAGUUUUGCCUGCAGAAACCCCUCUUACAAAAGGAGAAGAUAAUUCACAACUGAAAUCACUCGCAACCACAGAACCACAUGAAAGUGCGAGAACCUUUAACUCUGGAAAGGGUGAAGCAUACACUAGCAGCACAAAGGGUAUGAUCUUGAAGGAUGAAAAUGCUGCAAACACACCAGUUUUGCGUUAUGUCCCUCUGUCAAGGCGCAAGAAAGGCGAAUCACCAUUCAUGGAGUCUCCAAAAGGUUUGAAAGUUGGUGACAUCGAAAUCAUAAAAGAAAGCUUCACUACACCACUAACUAAGAUAGCGAAGCAGGAGGUAAAGGUAGAUCUGGUGGAAGCAAACUUGCCCCAAAGGCGAACGAAAGACGGAUUCGACCCCAAGGCUUACAAAUUGAUGGCGAAAGCAGGUUAUGACUUCACAGCUCACACCGAGUUUAAAAGCUUGGAAAUUCAUGACCGACCUGAGCUCUCCUCAACUCAAAAGAAGCUUCUACGGAAGGACAUUCUAUACCCGUGUCGAGAAAAGGACUCGGAUACAAGUCGCCAGAACCGAUCCGUAUAACUAAAAAGGGAAGGAAAAAGUGGUUGACAUCAAUCAUAUAACUAUAGAGGAUGACAAUACUGACGUAAAAGAAGGUGAUAAUCAGAGAAUCUCAGUAUUUGAUCGAAUUAGACCAUCUGUUGCACGUCCCGUAGUAUUUGAAAGGCUAAGCAUGACAGAGGCAGAAAGAGAAAGGCUCCAGUCAGUACCAAACCUUGAGAGACAUUCGGUCUUUCGAAGGCUAACUACGACUCCCAUAAAGGAAGAAAGCACAUGCCAUGCCUUGACAACUACAAGACCAUCAGCCUUUGAAAGGCUAGGUGUGUCUAAAAAAAAAAUGUACAAGCACCCCGUGCUCCGAUUUUUAAUCAUCUCGGGGAUAAAGGAUCACACGACAACAUUGAUUCCAACAUAGCAAAGAAGAAGGAACCAAUGUCUCGUGUGAAAGUUUGGCGUCGAAUUAAGCAUACAGAUGUCGAUAAUUAUCGUAGUAAGAAGUUUCCUUGCGAGACAAAGGAAAAUGGAGAAAUUCAUAGCAACGUUCCUUCUCGCAUGAAAAGAAAAACUUUUGUUACUCUCAAUACAAGUCAAGGUUCGUUAAAGGUAAAAAGACAUGAUGUUAUACUAACGAAUCCUGAAAAAGAAGGGUCGGAACAAGGGGAAGGUGAAACUUCAUGUCAUCACAUCACCAUUAUUGAGGAAUCAGAGACUGGAACUCAUGAAGAAGACGCAGAAAAUGCCCCACAAAGUUUAGAGGAUGGUGGUCAAUCUACUGUAGACGAGCUAAAAGAGGUGAACCUUGGUACAAUAGAGGAACCACGUCCGACUUUCAUUAGUGCGUCCCUCUCUAACGAAGAGGUGGAUAAAUAUAUGAGUUUGCUCACCGAAUACAGGGACAUCUUUGCGUGGUCGUACAAGGAGAUGCCAGGACUUGACCCAAAAGUAGCAGUCCAUCAUCUUGCAAUUAAACCGGAUAUCGACCGAUUAAACAAGCACAACGACGUUUUCGACCGGAGCUUAUCCCUCAAAUCGAGGUGGAAGUCAACAAGUUGAUCGAAGCAGGAUUCAUUCGCGAGGUCAAAUAUCCAACGUGGAUAGCAAACAUUGUCCCUGUUAGAAAAAAAAAUGGACAACUUCGCGUUUGUGUAGACUUUCGCGAUCUGAAUAAUGCAUGCCCUAAAGAUGAUUUUCCCUUGCCCAUCACCGAAAUCAUGGUUGAUGCAACUACUGGACACGAGGCGUUGUCGUUUAUGGAUGGGUCGUCUGGAUAUAAUCAAAUACGGAUGGCCCUCUCAGAUGAAGAAAUGACAGCUUUCAGAACUCCAAAGGGAAUAUACUGUUACAAGGUGAUGCCCUUUGGAUUGAAAAAUGCCGCGCUACUUAUCAACGUGCCAUGCAGAAAGUGUUUGAUGAUAUGUUGCACAGGUAUGUUGAAUGUUAUGUUGAUGAUCUUGUAGUCAAAACAAAGAGACGACAAGACCAUUUGAAGGAUCUAAAAGUCGUGUUUGAUCGCUUGCGAAAAUAUCAGCUAAGGAUGAACCCUCUCAAGUGUGCGUUUGGUGUAACUUCAGGAAAAUUUCUUGGCUUCAUUGUAAGGCAUCGAGGGAUCGAAAAUAGACCAGUCCAAGAUUGAUGCCAUUCAGAAGAUGUCAAGACCUAAAAGUUUGCAUGACCUAAGAAGUCUCCAAGGACGACUGGCUUACAUCCGAAGGUUCAUCUCUAACUUGGCCGGUCGGUGUCAACCUUUUCAAAAGUUGAUGAGAAAAGGAGAAAAUUUUGUGUGGGAUGAAGCUUGUCAGAACGCUUUUGAUAGCAUAAAGAAAUACUUGCUUACUCCCCCAGUGCUGGGAGCUCCAGUACCUGACAAACCACUAAUAUUGUACAUUGCUGCACAAGAAAGGUCCUUAGGAGCAUUACUGGCACAAGAAGAGGUAAAGGGAAAGGAGCGUUCUCUCUACUAUCUAAGCAGAACAUUAAUUGGGGCUGAAGUUAACUAUUCUCCUAUCGAAAAGAUGUGUCUUGCACUUUUCUUUGCCAUUGAUAAGUUGAGGCAUUAUAUGCAGGCCUUCACGGUUCAUCUAGUGGCAAAAGCAGACCCUAUAAAGUAUGUUCUAUCCAGGCCAAUCAUCGCUGGACGCUUAGCCAAAUGGGCGGUUCUACUCCAACAAUAUGACAUUGUCUAUAUUCCCCAAAAGGCGAUAAAAGGACAAGCGCUAGCAGACUUUUUAGCAGACCACCCAAUUCCUUCGGAUUGGAAGUUAUGUGAUGACCUACCAGACGAUGAGGUUUUCUUCACAGAAGUUAUGGAACCUUGGACUAUGUACUUCGAUGGUGCAGCUCGAAGAAGUGGUGCGGGGGCAGGCAUUGUCCUCAUUUCUCCUGAGAAGCAUAUGUUGCCUUAUAGCUUUGCACUUUCCGAAUUGUGUUCAAACAAUGUGGCUGAAUAUCAGGCUUUGAUAAUUGGCCUUCAAAUAGCAUUAGAAAUCGGAGUGUCAUUCAUAGAGGUCUAUGGUGAUUCAAAAUUGAUAAUCAAUCAACUCUCGCUUCAAUAUGACGUGAAACAUGAAGACUUGAAGCCAUAUUUUGCUUAUGCUCGACAAUUGAUGGAAAAGUUUGAUAAUGUGAUGUUAGAACAUGUCCCUAGAGUAGAAAAUAAGAGAGCGGAUGCAUUGGCAAAUUUAGCCACGGCCUUGACCAUGCCAGAUGAUGUAACUCUGAACAUACCACUUUGUCAACGAUGGAUUAUACCCCCAGUUAGGCCUGAAUGUCAGGAAGUGAACAUGGCAACAUCCUAUUUGAUUGAUGAAGAAGAUUGGCGUCAACCCAUCAUAGAGUAUCUUGAACAUGGAAAGCUUCCAAAGGAUUCUCGUCAUAAAAUUGAGAUACGAAGAAGGGCAGCACACUUCAUUUAUUACAAGGGAACUUUAUAUCGCCGUUUUCUUGAAGGGCUCUUCCUUCGAUGUCUCGGAAAGGAAGAUUCGGUAAAAGCUCUAAAGGAAGUACAUGCAGGUGUUUGUGGAGCACAUCAAUCGGGACCAAAGCUUCAAUUCCAGCUAAGAAGAAUGGGCUACUACUGGCCUAAGAUGAUCCAAGAUUCAAUAGACUAUGUGAAGAAGUGUGAGCCUUGUCAAUACCAUGCAAACUUCAUACACCAACCUCCAGAACCUCUUCAUCCAACUGUGGCUUCUUGGCCUUUUGAGGCUUGGGGACUCGAUCUGGUUGGCCCCAUUACACCAAAAUCAUCAGCAGGACAUUCUUAUAUCCUAGCAGCAACAGACUAUUUUUCAAGGUGGGCUGAGGCCAUUUCAUUGAGAGAAGCCAAGAAGGAGAACGUGGCAGACUUUAUUCGAACACACAUCAUCUAUCGAUACGGUAUUCCACAUCGAAUCGUGACGGAUAAUGGAAAGCAAUUCUCCAAUAGUAUGAUGGACAAGUUAUGUGAAAAAUUCAAAUUCAAGCAAUAUAAGUCAUCCAUGUACAACGCAGCUGCGAAUGGACUAGCAGAAGCAUUCAACAAAACAUUGUGUAAUCUUUUAAAGAAAAUUGUCUCCAAGUCAAAGAGGGAUUGGCAAGAAAAGAUCGGCGAGGCAUUAUGGGCUUAUCGGACGACUCAUCGCACCCCUACAGGGGUUACACCAUAUUCGCUUAUUUACGGUGUGGAGGCUGUCCUUCCUCUCGAAAGGGAAAUUCCGUCACUAAGAAUGGCAGUACAAGAGGGAUUGACUACCGAAGAUAAUGUGAAGUUACGUCUUCAAGAAUUAGAAGCACUUGACGAAAAGCGAUUAGAGGCUCAGCAAGCAUUGGAAUGUUAUCAAGCGAGAAUGUCCAAAGCUUUUGAUAAACACGUUAAACCUCGCUCCUUUCAAGUCGGUGAUCUAGUACUUGCCGUAAGGAGACCGAUCAUCACAACAAGGCAUACAGGAAAUAAGUUCACACCUAAAUGGGAUGGACCUUACAUUGUUAAAGAAGUUUAUACAAAUGGCGCAUACAAGAUCGUUGAUCAAGACGGACUACGAAUUGGCCCAAUCAAUGGUAAAUUUCUUAAAAAAUUUAUGCUUAAUUUUGUUAGGUAAAAAAAAAAAAAAAAAAGUUGAACUACGUUAUGACUUGAUCCCUAUAUUAUAAAGGGUACGUAGGCAGCUUAAGGAAAACCUUAAGCCCAGUCCAGCAAAAAAAAAGUUGAACUACGUUAUGACUUGAUCCCUAUAUUAUAAAGGGUACGUAGGCAGCUUAAAGAAAACCUUAAGCCCAGUCCAGCAAAAAAAAAAAGUUGAACUAUGUUAUGACUUGAUCCCUAUAUUAUAAAAGGCAGCUUAAAGGAAACUUUAAGUUCAGUCCAAUAAAAAAAAAAGGAAGAAAGACAAAUUACAUUUAAUAGAAAAUAUGAUGAGGAGUGGAACAAUGAAAGAAUAAUUUUUUUUUUAUUAUUAUUAUAAACUUCUAGCAAAAAAAAAUUAAAAAGGCAUAAGUAGAUAAAUAAGAGAAAGCAGAGAAUCAUGGAGUCCAUUUAAAGUUCUUCAGCUCCUCUAGUGUGCUUUCUAAAGAUUCACGAAGUGUUGAUAGCAUUUUAGCAUCAAUAUCUCCAACGAUCGGGGCACAUUCGAGUUUGUCAAUUUCCUCACAAGUCUUCGAAAUCUCAUGUUGCUUCUGCUUCAGCUCCAGGUCGUUCUUAAAAAUUAUUCCAGAAAGUUUAGCAGACUCAACCCGCACCAUCUUUAGUUUUGCCUCUAGUUUAGCCUCCUUAGCGGACAGUCGUGUAAGACGACGUUUAGCAGUGUUGGUCUCUGCUAAUAUACGAUUCUCAUCAACUCGCAGAGUCUUCACAAAACCUUUUGCCUCCGUUAGCUGAACAUCCUUAGUUGAUUGGAGUGGAAAUGAGGAAUGUAUUUGAUUAUGGUUCUCGACACCUUGGAAGUAACCAUUCACAAGCUCCCUCAAAACAAUAAGGUUGUCGCUGCCGUUAGUCGCAAUCGCAUCAAAGAUCUUAUGCAUUUCUGGUUCAAGACUACUCAGUCGUUCAAAAGGGGUACGAAUGAUCUUCUGUCGUAGGUUUUCCCAUAAGGUUAUGGCAGCCUGUCGUCGGAGGUCAGAAAUUAAGCUGUCAGCACAAAAAUGAGAAAUCUCAGAAACUGUAAUAGGCUCUGUGCCUUCCACUUUUUGAGGAGGUCCCUUGAUCACAGGAGGACAAGCAGACACAAUAUUUGCGCCUAUAGGUUCCUUAGAGUUCCCAUUAUAAGAAAGUACAACGUUACAGUCUUCUAGAUUCAGCAUCAACUCUAGGGUAUCUUCGAUGUGUAGGUCAUGAUCACCUAAAGAAUACUACAAAAUAAUAUUAACAACAAGAAAUAAGGGGAGUAAAGGAGAGAAAAUACAAUCAAUAAAUAAAUAAAAUUGGGAGACGAAAAGAAACCAUGGGGGAAGGGACAUCGAAAAAUUGUGCAGCAUCAGGGACCCGAAUAGGAGACUCUUCAUCAUCGAUCGACUGUUUGUUAGGCUUCUUGGGUCUCUUCCAAUGGCGAUCAUCAUUGCUGCUUUGACUGUCCUCAAUACGUUUAGAAGGAUGCUUGGUAGCUAUCGAUAAGCGGUUGUCCUUACCCAUAUUGUCAAUACCACCUUUAAUAAGAUGUUUAAAUCGUGUAGAAAGAGACAAAUUAUCCACCAAGCGUUUUGUCCCUCCCUCAAUUUUCUCCACAAGUCGUUCAUCAGUUUCAUCGGAGCAUAUCUUCUGAUUUCCACUACCAAAAUUAUGUUCAAUCUUUUUUGUGGUUUUGGAUUUGAUGUGAGGGGGAGUAGGACGAUCUAUCAAAUGUUGUACUCCUUCUUGGAGGUAAUCACCGUGUUUUGCAAGCCACCAGACCUUAUAAUGAGAGGUAACAUGUGUGUCUGGAUUAGGGGCAGACACAGGAAGAUAUACUUGGGAAAGUGUAUUCUCGCGAAUACAAAUCAUCCAACAAUAUCGUACGUUAAAAAAAUUGGCUUCGGGAAUUUCUUCACCUAAGUCAUAUGGCACGUCUUGAUAAAAUCCAAAUGGUCGGCUAAAGCGACAAGGACUAUAAGGCUCAAUAACUGUGGAGGAUCCACAUUGCGAGGAUAGAAAACAAGAGCAAAUGCUUAUGAAAAAUGAAGCAUUCUAACUAAUUAACUCUCCAUCAUCCGUUAAGAGUUCGUCCUUAUUCUUUGUUGGAAGACACGCAUGCCAUGACACAUACUUUCCCUUGUGGAUAUGUGUUCGAGCCUCAAGAUUAGUAUAAUAUUUGGCCCCACCUUCACCAGAAAAUUCAACCAUGCGAGGACCCCUAAGACUCCUAGGGGCUUUAUAAUGAGUGUUGAAGUAAAGAGCAAGCCACCCAUGGACAUAGUGAAGAGGAAAACAGGCAUUUGAAUAACCAAGUGAUGAAGUAGAAUCAUGAACUUGGCGUAGGCCACUAUAAAUAUUAGCUAAAACAGGGACGGCAAGGCUAAAUGUGUAGCCUUCCGCCAUGAGGCUAGCAACCUUAAAAACCUCCGGACGAAGGGAAAGUUGCUUAUCAGGGAACACAAACACACAUAGCCAACAAGAGAGAAAUGCCGCUAGAUAGGUUUUGUCCCUAUGAUCAUCAGUGACGCUUAAGUCAAGGAACACUUUGAGUUCAGCUUUAGACCAGUCAGGACGUCUGAUGGGAAUUCCAUCUGGAUUAUGAGUUGAGCGAGGGCGAGAAGUCUUUUUAGGCUUUCGAGGAGGCGGUUUCGAAUACUUUACCUCAGAUCGUGUAACCCAAAAAGAGAUCCAUUCACUUACAGUGAUUUGAGAGUGAUCCAUGCGUUGAGAAACAAUGCGGUAAUAGGCUGCAAAUAAAUGCUCACAACUUCUUGGACAUACAUCAGGUGAUCCUAUUAAGUCUUGGUGGCAAGGAAUGCUUUCUUCAUAAAAUCUACCUUUAAUCGGGAGUCCUCCUAGUAUCCAUAAGUCCCAUAAGGAGAUGGACAUCUCACCAGCUGAGGUGUGAAGAGUGUUUGUUGAAGGACACCAUGCCUCGCAGAAAGCCCGAUCAAUGUCACUGUUGCGAUCAUAUGUAUAUAGGGAAGCCAUCACAGCAUUAAAUAGGGAGGCUCGCUUGAGUACUGCCGUAUUUCUAGCAACAACGAGCUCUAACCACUCCCAAUAAUGAGGAAGAUAGUAAAAUUCUCCAUGUACCUUGAGCACAUUUCCCCAACGAAUUUUUGGGUCGUUUAUAAUUCGACGACCCAACGUUGAUUCUGGAUCCUCAUUUGGAGGCUUGUUGUGAAUCGAAGACUCCAGAAACCAAGAUUUUAAAGAUGAAUUUGGAUUUACAAACCGUUCCUUGGACCAUUUAGGCAAAAAGAUAAAAUUGUCCUCGGGUAUUUGAGAGUCCAUAAUAUUCUCAUAUGUCCCCUCUCUCACAGGAAGAAUGAUCCCUUCCUCUAAAGAUUGAUCUACGUCCUUCAGGAUAAUUAAACACCUUUUGGUCGAGUCAGAAUACUCAGUGAAGUGCACCAUGAUGAAAAGAAGAGUUCCUGCAAAAUAAUAAUAAUAAUAAGAAGAAGAAGAAAUAGAAAAAAAAAAAAAAACCAAAACAAAAAAAAAAAAAAAAAAAAAAAAAAAAAAAAAAAAAAAAAAAAAAAAGAAAGAAGAAAAAAAAAAGAAAGAAAGAAGAAAAAAGGGGGGGGAAGAAAAAGCAAAUGGAGAUUGAAGCCCGACGAUGACAGAGUCGAUCUCUCCUACUAGGGCGAUAGAUCUGACGGCAAAAGCCCGAUCGUCCCUAGAAGAAGCUCAACAAAGUCAUUUCUGCAAACGAAGAUCGAAGCCCGACGAUGACAGAGUCGAUCUCUCCUACUAGGGCGAUAGAUCUGACGGCAAAAGCCCGAUCGUCCCUAGAAGAAGCUCAACAAAGUCAUUUCUGCAAACGAAGAUUGAAGCCCGACGAUGACAGAGUCGAUCUCUCCUACUAGGGCGAUAGAUCUGACGGCAAAAGCCCGAUCGUCCCUAGAAGAAGCUCAACAAAGUCAUUUCUGCAAACGAAGAUUGAAGCCCGACGAUGACAGAGUCGAUCUCUCUAACUAGGGCGAUAGAUCUGACGGCAAAAGCCCGAUCGUCCCUAGAAGAAGCUCAACAAAGUCAUUUCUGCAAACGAAGAUCGAAGCCCGACGAUGACAGAGUCGAUCUCUCCUACUAGGGCGAUAGAUCUGACGGCAAAAGCCCGAUCGUCCCUAGAAGAAGCUCAACAAAGUCAUUUCUGCAAACGAAGAUUGAAGCCCGACGAUGACAGAGUCGAUCUCUCCAACUAGGGCGAUAGAUCUGACGGCAAAAGCCCGAUCGUCCCUAGAAGAAGCUCAACAAAGUCAUUUCUGCAAACGAAGAUCGAGGCCCGACGAUGACAGAGUCGAUCUCUCCAACUAGGGCGAUAGAUCUGACGGCAAAAGCCCGAUCGUCCCUAGAAGAAGCUCGACAAAGUCAUUCCUGCAAAAAAAAAAAAAAACAAAAACAAAAACAAAACAACACAAAAAAAAAAAAAAAAAAACAAACAAAAAAACAAAACAAAAUAGAAUAAAAAAAAAAACACACACACACACAAAAAAAAGAGAAAAAAAAAAAAAGAGAAAGG
rnacentral:lncRNA from 1 species